UAGGAUUUGGUUAGAAUUUGAUUAGGAUUUAUUUAGGAUUUAUUUAGAAUUUGAUUAGGAUUUAUUUAGGAUUUAGUUAAGAUUUGUUUAGGAUUUAGUUAAGAUUUGUUUAGGAUUUAAUUAGAGUUUAUUUAGGAUUUGUUUAGAAUUUGAUUAGGAUUUUUUUAGGGUUUUUGUAGGAUUUGGUUAAAAUUUGUUUAAGAUUUGGUUAGGAUUUGUUUAAGAUUUGAUUAGAAUUUAUUUAGAAUUUGAUUAGGAUUUGUUUAGGAUUUGGUUAGGAUUUAUUUAGGAUUUGAGUAGGAUUUGAGUAGGAUUUGGUUAAGGUUUGUUUAAGAUUUGAUUAGGAUUUGUUAGGGAUUGACUAAGGUUUAUUUAAGAUUUGACUAGAAUUUGAUUAGGUUUUGACUAGGAUUUAAUUAAGGUUUCUUUUUUAAGAUUUUUAUUUUAGUAUAUUUUUGAAUUUCUAUGUUUUUUCUUUAUGAUUCUUUAAAGGAUCUCUAAAAAUACUUUGUCUUUUUUACAUAAUUCUUUAAAAAUUUUGAUUGAAUUUGAUCGAUGUUUGAUUAUAUUUUCUAAUUUUUAAUUAUAAUUUAUUUAAAAAUCUAUUAGAUUUGUUAAGACUUGUUGUUGCAAUUUUUUUAAUCUUUCACAACUAAGUAUCUGAUGCAUUCUCAAGGCAAAUGCCAUGUAAUAUGAUACCGUGUAUAUAGAUCAUAAGAACCUUAAGUAUUUCAUGUCAAUACGUGUUUUGAAUCAUCAUCAAGCCUGCUAGAGCAUGUCUUUAUCCAGAUUCAAUUUUAAGAUCACUUAUUGACCUAGAAAAUAAUAAGAUCUAUUAAAUGUCUUUUAUAGAUAUUCUUAUCUUGCACCAAAAGAAGGAAAUGUAUUUUUUGAUCAACAAAGAAUAAUUCUCUUGAAGCCUGAGCAUUUUCAUCUUUGAGCAAUAAAAUCAACAUUCACUAUUGAUUUAACUUUUAUCAAGCAAAUCCAAUUAAGUAUGUCCUUUGAUCCUCUUGUUCAUGAUAUUAAGAAUCUUUCUUUUAAGUCUCAUGAUUUUGUCAAGCUUUUCAUUGACAAUAUCUAAUAUUAUCAUGGAUUAAUAAAGGAUAUUAUAUCAGAUAGGAGGAUCCAAUUUGUAUUAAGAUUUUGAAAAAUCCUAUUUAAGAUUCUAAAGGUGAAUAUAAAACUCUCUUUGACUUUUCAUCCUCAAACUUAUGGGCAACGGAAAUGGAUGAAUCAAGUUUUGGAGUAGUAUUUGAGGUGUACCAUUAACUAUUAUCAAGAUGAUUAGAUAAUUUUUUUGCCAUUGACAGAGUUUGGAUAUAAUAAUUUGAUACAUUCUUCUAUUCAAAUAACACUUUUUUUUAUCAAUUAUGAUUAUCACUCAUAUCUUAAUACUUUUGAUUUUUUAAAAGUUGAUAAUCUUGUGGCAGAAGAUUUAGAAAAUUGUUUGUCAAUGCUACAUGUAGUAAUGAAGAUACAAUUAAGGAGAGUUCAAGAACGUUAAAAGACCAACGCAGAUGCCUAUUGUAAAGAACAACCACAAUUCAAUAUAGAUGACAAGAUAUGGUUACUUCAUCGUAAUAUGAAGACUACUCAUCCUUGUAAUAAGUUGGACUAUCAAAGGCUAGGAACUUUUCUUAUUUGUGAACAAAUCAAUCAUGUUGCUUAUCGAUUAUAUCUACCAGAGUCUAUGAAGAUCCACCCUAUAUUUCACAUGUCCCUUCUUGAGCUAUAUAAGAUAGUGAAUAUCUUGGAAAGAAGACAAAUGCCACCUCUUUCUAUAGAAGUGGAUGAUAAUUAAGAAUUCGAGGUAAAAGAAGUCUUAGAUUCAAGGCAACGUUGAAAUAGAUUAGAAUAUCUUAUUCAUUGGCAUGGAUAUGAUAUCAACAAACGUACAUAGGAGUCAGAAAAGAAACUUGUAAAUGCAACAAAGAAGGUUGAGGCCUUUUAUCGACGACAUCUAUCCAAUCAAGAUGAUGAAUUGGGGUUAAAAACUUGACCAACAAGCUAACUAUGUAUUGGUAGCUUGUGGAACAAGUUAAUUCUAUGUAGUAGGUUAUAGAACAAGCUAACUAUGUGGCAUAUAUAUAGAUAACUUGCCUUGCAAGUUAAGACGUGACUAAUAAAGUCAAUACAUUUUGGAAGUCCUAUAGGACAUUGCCAUGUAGCUUCUAGUUAUAAGUAUAUAAGGAGGCAAGAGUGAAGCCUUCUUUACUCUUUUCAACACCUUUCUAGUCCUUAAUCUUGUUCCAUUACUUUAUAGUCUUUUUGUUUUUGGUAAUAGCCAUUCUAGUUUGAUAUUACAUCACCUUUUGAGUGACUUUCUAGUUCUCUUCAGUGACACAAGAGUAUAUUGAGGAUUAUCUUUCUUUGAGAUUCAUGUCCUUGACACUAAGUUAGAAAAAUAUGUCUUUCAUAGAAUUUAAAUAGACUUUUUGAAAUAUAUUUUUUAAGAUGAUGAUUUAAAAAUACAUUCUAUUAAAGUGUAAACUAUUAUAAAUUCAAAAACUUCAAGAAUUAUUUAAGAUGUCUAAUAUUUUUUAGGAUUUAAAAACAACUUUUAAAUUUUUAUUAAGAAAUUCUAUUAAUUAAACAUAUUAUUAUUUCAAUCAUUGAAUUAACUUCUAAAAAAAAUUAGAAUAGAAUAAAGAGGUAGCACUAAGCUUAUCCCGGCUUAUGACUCUCAUAGUCUGGCUCUCAACUUACGACUCUCACAAUCUGGCUCCAAUCUCUCUUUUUUCAACCUCUUUAUCCUACCAAAAAGAUGAUCCGUCGGCCAGCGGAUUCUAAAGGUUAUGACCCUUUGAAUUCUUAACCAUUUAUUCCACUAACAACCUACUGUUACUAACUAAACUACCUAGCCAUCAGUCUAAUUUUCAAGGUUAUCAAUAACCAAUGAGUAACUUACGAAAAAGUUUAUUUACCUAUUCUACAAGGAGUUUUAGGGCAUUGAAGAUAGCACAUGUAAUUCAAAGGUAGUAAGUGAGUCAUUUUGUUGAUAGUAAUAGUUGGAGCCAAAUCUUGAAUAUUUUUGACAAAUUUUUGGCUCAAAAUUUCUAUAAGAAUGAAUUAUUAGGUUGAAAAGCUAUAGAUCAAAGUUUCAUAGUAUUUGAGUACUUAUUUUGCGAGAUAUGAAGAAAAUAGCAUGCGGAUGUAUGUAAGCUAGGAUUUAAAGCUAUUAUUAGGAUUUUGGUGAUAUCUCAAGAUCCGUAAUGAAUUUGUAGUUGAAUUUUUUUAUGAUGGUUUUUGAAAGUAUAUCAGUACUUCAUGUAAAAUUUAAGUUUGUUUGGACAGUCCAAUCGUGAGGUAUAAGUUGUUGAAGUUCAAAAAAUAUUUGUCAUUAGGAUAUAUAAGGUUUUAAGAUAUUUUAUCAUACAUUUGGAUGUUUUUUUUGGUACUUGGGCUUAUGUAUAGAUGUAAUUGUUCAAAAGGAAAAAUAUUAUGUAUAUAAACUUCAUACUUUUAUAUCUUAGACUUGAUUGAGCAUUUAGUAGCAGCCAAAAGCCCAGCGCUUUUUUGAGGCAAACUCUCUCUACUCCGAUAACAGUCUAUGGGAUCUUUGCUUAUAAAGUUAUGCCAUUUGGAUUAUAUAAUACCUAGCCAUAUUUCACAGAAUAAUAAUACAAGCUUUUUAAGAUCAUUUAUAAAAUUCAAUGGACAUAUUUUUAGAUGAUUUUUGUACAUUUAGUACAAAGGCUAAUCAUUUGGAAUAUCUUGAUAAGUGUUUGGAUCACUGUAGCUAUUAUGGGAUCUCUUUGAAUUUAGAAAAAUAUCAAUUUGAAGUAACGUCUAGUAAAUUAUUGAGACAUAUUGUCUCAUUGGCUGAUAUUGCUACUAACUUGAAUAAAGUUAUUCAUAUAUUGGCUUUAGCAAAGGUAGAAACAAAGUCGGGUAUUUGUAAUUUCAUUGGUCAUGUAAGUUAUUAUCGAUAAAUUAUUCAUUCAUUUGUGAUCAUAUGUCAGCCUUUAACUAAUAUCUUAAAGAAACUAGUGUCAAAUGGCUAUAGUCUAAUUUGGACUGAGGAAUAUACAAUUGCAUUUGAAGAAUUGAAAUACAAAUUGGUGUAUGCACCAAUACUGGUUAUACCUUGUUAGACAAAAAUAUUUCAUAUUUAUGUUGAUGCAUCCAAUGUUGCUAUUGGAUCCAUGUUAAGUUAAAAAGAUGUAAAGGAUUUAGAUCAUUCAAUAUAUUAUACUAGUCAAUAAUUGCUUGCACUUGAACAAAAUUGUACUAUGAUUGAAUAUGAAGCUUUGGAAAUGAUUUAUUAUGUUAAAAUUUUUUGACAUUAUUUGCUUGGUUAUAAAUUUGCAUUUCAUGUUGAUUACAAUGCUCUUAAAUAUAUGGUUAAUAAACCUCAAUUGAGUGGAUACAUUAUUCGAUGGAUGAUACUAUUUCAAGAAUUUAUCUUUAUUAUUAAUGUCAAACUAGGAAAGAAACAUGCCAAUGUGAACUAUAUGUCCCGUUUAUCCAAUAUAUUGGAUAAUGAGCCUAUUAAUGAUACCUUACUUGAUGCAAAAUUAUUUGCCAUUGAUGUAAUUAUACCUUAAUAUAGUGAAUUGAUUUGAUAUUUGACAUUUCAAAUAUUUCUAUCUACAUAUAGUGAAAAACUUAAGAAACGCUUGAUUUUAAAAAGUGCACCAUAUAUAAUGAUUGGUGACGCCUUAUAUUAGCAGGGAUAGGAUGAAAUUUUAUGCCACUGUAUCUUUCAAAGUGUAGUGCAUACCAUAUUGGAAGGCUACUAUUUGAAUAGUUGUAAUGGACAUUUUGCUACUGAUAGUACUGCUCGUAAAGCUUUAAUAGGUGGAUAUUGGUGGCCAAUAAUAUUUUCAGAUGCACACCAAUAUGUCUGAUGUUGUGAUCCUUAUUAAUGAAUUAAUCAACCUAUUGGAACUUCUACCAUACAGUUGGUACCAAUUUUGGCACAAGCACCAUUUGUGAAAUGGAGUAUUGAUUUUGUAGGAUCAAUCGUAUCAACCUCAUAAAAUGAAUAGAAACAAUAUAUUUUGGUAGCGAUCGAUAAUAUAACAAAAUGGACUGAGGCAGUGGCAAUAAAAACUAAUAGUGUCAAUACAAUAGCCACAUUUUAAUAUGAGAACAUUAUCACUUGAUUUAGAUGUCACAAAAGAAUUGGUUAGUAAUUAAAGAACCUAUUUUAUUAAUUUUGUAAUUGCUGAUUUGAUGAAUAAAUAUGAGAUCAAAAAUCAAAAAACAAUCCCAUAUCACCCUAUGGCCAAUAGACAGACUGAAAAGACUAACAGUAUUAUGUACAAAGUUUUAACUAAGAUUGUGUCUGAUAUGAGAAUGGAUUGAGAUACAAAAUUAUUUGCAGCUUUGUCGGCUUAUUGUACUAUGUAUAAAAUAACUACCGAUUCUAUACCAUUCUAAUUGAUGUAUGGAUAAGAGGCAAUUUUACCAACUAAAUUAGAAGUUUAGAGUUUAAGAAUUAUAUUAGAUGAAUAUCUUGGCGACAAGGAAUCCCUCCAAUAUUAGUUCAUACAAUUGAAAAAAUUAGAUGAAGUUAGGGCUACAACUCUAUUGACUAUGAAAACUUCACAACAUUUUCAUAAGAUUUAUUAUGAUAGUAAGUUAUAUCCCAAAUCUUUUCUACCCAAUUAUCUAGUGCUUCUUUAUAAUAGUUGAUUUUACAUUUUUUUGAAAAUAUUUCAAGUCUAUUGGCAUAGAUUAUUGUCAUGAUGUAAGACGACUAAUAGGUGAAAGAGUGUAGAGAUUAUUGUAAUUUAGGAGAUCUUAGUUCAAAGUAUUAGAAAAAAUUAUUUUAGAAAUAUAGUUAUUAGUCAAAGGGGUAGUAAAAUUAAAAGGUAUCAAUGUUGCCUUUUAGAAAGGUGACUUCUACUUACUUUGUAGGACCAUAAAUAAGGCAAAAUAAAGUAGGUUGGAAAAAUAAAUGAUAUAGACAUCUUUAGAAGAAAGCUAAGAGUAAAUUUUCGUAAAAAUUACUUAGAAAAACUAGAUGUUAAUACCCGGAGAGGGCUUGUUGUGAACCACGGUCGAAAUCAGAUUGUGAGGCACAAAACCGAGUCUCGACGACAAUUUUGGGGUUCUUUUGUAGAUCGGAGAGUGGGGUCUGAUAGCAAAUUCAAUAGGAUUUCUAUAAGCUAUGAUUUUGGAUGAUUUAGAGUUGUAAUGACUUUGUAAGAGCUUUACAAAGUCAAGGUUUAUUUUGGAUGACUUGGAUUUUAUGAAAUAAAAUAGGAUUUAUGUUUUAGGUGAUUUCAAGAGUUUUAUAAUAGAUCUAUGGGUGAAAUUUUGUAGGUUCAUAGUUAUAGUUGUGUUUAAUACGUAUUAUAAAUUUGAGCUCGAUCUAAUAGUUGAAUUGAGGAAUAUUGAGGUUGAAGUGGGUCAAGGUCUCAGAAAAUAGAAUUUUAGGUCUAUUGAGUGUUUUUAAGAUUUCUUGUAAUCUACUAGUUGGAUUGGAGUGAAACUUAUGUGAGAGAAUAUUAGACUUCAUUUUCUAUGUGUAUGAGAAUUUAGAGAUCAAUCGAAUAAUGCAAAGGAGAGAUAAUUACUCUGGAAGAUUAGUAUUAAGGUUGGAGAAGGAAGCUGACCAAUAGCCAAGUACAUUUUUGAAGUUAUCGUCUAUUUGAUAUCUCGAUUCUUUUCAAAAAUUUUGUGAUUAUUUUUAACUUAAUUUUUAAGAAAAAUAAAAAAAUUGAGUUAAGAUCAACGGUUUAUUCAUUAAUUAUUGAGGUUUAAAUCAGUUGUAUGAAUUACUAGGGUUUGAUUAGGGAUUGGUUUAGGAUUAGGAUUUGGUUUAGAAUUUGGUUAAUAUUUGAUUUAGGAUUUGGUUAGGAUUUUAUUUAGGAUUUAGAUUUUGGUUUAGGAUUUAGAAUUUGAUUUAGGAUUUGGUUAGGGUUUGAUUUAGGAUUUAGGGUUUAGGGUUUAGUUAGGAUUUGGUUAGGAUUUGAUUUAGGAUUUAAAAUUUGAUUUAAGAUUUGGUUAGGGUUUAGUUUAGGAUUUAGGAUUUGGUUUAGGGUUUGGUUAGGAUUUGAUUUGGGAUUUAGGAUUUGAUUGGGGUUUGGUUUAAGGUUUGUUUAGAGUUUGGUUUAGAGUUUAGAUUUUGAUUUAGGAUUUAGGAUUUUAUUAGGAUUUAAGAUUCAAUUAGUUUUGGCAUAAAGUUUGAAUGAAGUUCAAUAGGAUUUUAACUAGGAUUAAAUCAAGAUUGAAUUGAGAUGUAUUUGAAUGAUAUUUGUGAUCAUUCUAAUAUUUCUUUAAGAAUUCUUAUUAUUUGUUUGAAAUUUCUUUGAGGUUUUUUUGAAUUUGAUUAAAGCUUUCUUAGAAUUAUUACAGUCUAAUUAGAGCAUUAUUAGUAUUCUAUUAGAAUUAAGAUUUUGUUGUUACAAAUUCCAUUCUUUCUUCCACAGCCAGGUGUUCGGAGCAUUCUCAAGGAAGACUUUACGUAUUAUGACAUAUUUGGUGAAUCCGACAUUAAAUGCUUGAAUUGGAAGGAAUUUGGUUUUUUUUUUGGAUUAUUUGAAUUUUGGAGAAAGAAGGCAAGGAGGAUGGAAGGAGGAAUUUUUGAUGGUGCUUCAAAUGGAGUUGGAUGAGGAGCUUCGAUUGGAGGACAAGGUAUGCAUUUUGAUCAUAACUCUGCAAGCAUGUUUGAAGCUUUGGCCUUAUUUAUGCAACAGCAACACCAACAGGUUAAAGAGCACAAAGAAAGUAUGGCUAAUAAAAUAUUACAAGCGGUUGUAGACAAGAUCGAUCAAUUUGAAGGAAAUGAUAUUAUAUAAUAUUUAAGAUGUUAUGUAAAUGAAAUGGAAUUGAAGCAUAUAUCAAAAAGGGAGAUGGUUCAAUUAUUUGAAUUAGCCUCUACACGAGAUAUAAGAAAUUAAGUAAAGUCUCUUAUAGAACAUUUUGGAGGUUCAUGGGAGAAAUUUUCUCAAGCAUUGAAGGAUGAGUUUUUCUUAGAAGAUAGUGAUAGAAUUACAAAAAAGUCUUUUUUUGAAUGGAUUAAAAGGCAAGAGAAGAAUCUUCUAGUAAUAGAAUUAUUAAAGGAAUUUAAAAAGUAAUAUUCUUCUUUAUCAAAGAAAGAAAGAUAAUUAUUGGAAUCAAGUAAGGUGGAGCUCUUUCUUCAAGCAACUAAUGGAAAGUUGCAAGAGAAGUUGGAAAUCAGUCUUGAAGAUAAAGAAGAAGAUGAAGGAUUGACAACAAAUUGAAAUAGAGUAGAGGAGGCUGUAGGGUUGUUGAUAAAAAGAGAAAGGAGAAAAGAUAGGAAGGGGGGGUGAUUAAAGACCAUUACAAGCAUCUAAGUUAAAGGUGUCUAGUACCCAUCCGCCAUCUUUGAUUUAACCUUACGAUUGGAGAUGGAGGCCGACCAAUACCUGAGCAUAUUUUUGAGGUUAUCAUCAGUUUGGUAAUCCAGAUCCUUUUUAAUUUUUUUGUGCUUGUUUUUUACUUAUUUUUUUAAAAGUAUGCAAAAUUUGAGUUAAGAUCAACAGUUCAUUCAUUAGUUAUUGAGGUUUAAUUUUGUUAUAGGAAUUACAAGGAUUUGGUUUAGGAUUUAGGAUUUGGAUUAGUAUUUGACUUAGAGUUUAGGAUUUGGUUUAGGAUUUGGUUACGGUGUCGUGUUGUGACACGAGUAUACCGUGAAAAUAUAAAGAAAGGGGACUUUUAUUAAUGUUCAGUUACCUCGAAUAUUGAGAGCAACGACCAACUCCAGUACAAAUACUGAGUGGUCAGGUUCAGUCACCCCGUUUCAGUCAGCUAGGGCAUACUGAAAUGCUCCGUUCGAUUCCAAUAACAAGAGUCAGCAGGAAGAAAAAGGACCAAUUCACACGACGGGUGAGCCUGAUUCAAAGAGCCAAUUGGAUCCAAUUUCAAGAAUCCAAUCUGGGUCCUCUUACCCAAUAUGAGACCUGCAUUGGUCGGGCAACCUAAUGCAGUCUAAUUACGGGAAAAUCCAGGUCUUACUACGGGCCUCAGCCAGUCUGACUCGAAGGACCAAUUUGAUCCAAUUACGGGAACAUCUAGGUCUUACUACGGGCCUCUUAGCCAAUCUGACGCGAGGACCAAUUUGACCUAAUUACGCGAACAUCCAGGUUACUAUGGGCAUCUUACCCAAUAGGAGACCUGAAUUAAGUGGGCGACUCAAUGUGGAUCCGAGUACGGGGUUUCGAUUCUGUUUCAGGCUGUCCUAUUCUCUGUGCUGUUUCAUGGCACGUUGUUUUCGGUAAAUGUAUCUCAUAAAGAUAAAAACGAAAUAGAAAGCUCUAACGACGGGAGCCAAUUUCGGAUCUAAGCUCUGACGCUGGGAGCCAAUUCCGGAUCCAAGACGAAAGAUUGAAGAAAUUCAGAGGAUAUGGUUAGAGAGAGAAUAAGUUUUUGGGAGGUUUUUGAAGAUCAGGGAGGAGGGAGGUUUUUGAAGAUCGGGGGGGAAAGAGGUUUUUGAAGAUCGGGGGGAGGGAGCUUCAUGCUUCGAGUGGAGAAAGAAGACAAAGAAUUGGGUUUUUUUUUUCUUCAUAGGGUUUUGGAAAGACUGAGGUAAUCGUUGCUGAAGUCAGUGUUGUAAUGGUGAAUCGGGAUUUUUAAUAAAGUGGGUUUGAUUACUCUUGACUGUUUUGUGAAAUUGAGUUACGUCUGAGAUUGAAGAGUUAAAAAGGUGUCUAUAGGAUUGAGUAUGCAGAGUGAAUGAAAUUUAUUGGGUUAAUCUAACAAAACAUUCAAUGGAUACAAGAUUGUAAGUACAAAGCGAUAUCGAAGAUAAACAGUUUGGGUUGUUCGGGGUUCCAUGUAACGUUUGGAGACCUAUCGACUGGGACAAAAAAGACUUCGCCGAGUAGUCGAAGGGCAUCCAUAUAGAUUUACGGUGUAUUCUUGCAGUCAUUUAUAUUCUAACAGUCAAAAACUGAUAGACCGCUUGACUAUUGGCGAAUCUCCAUACUACCUUCUACAGCCAGAUGCCCGGUGCGUUCUCGAGCAGGAAAGCACGUAAUACGACAAAAGUGGUGAACCCGACGUCAAAGAUUGAGGUAGAAGGUAUUGGAUUUCGGUUGAUUUUAUCUUUAUUUUAUGAAAAACGAAAAUAAAAAUUUUGAAGGAUUUUUGGGAGAAGUUUCUGGUGGGGAUUCUUCUAAAGGACAAGGUAUGGAUAUGAAUCCGUCUAUUGCUAGUAUGUUUCAAGCCUUCUCAUUAUCAAUGUAGCAACAGCAAAGCAAUGAUCGAAAGGAAGCUUUGGCCACCAAAGCAUUACAAGCAGUGCUCAAUAAAAUUGAACAAUUUAAUGGAAGGAAUAUUUCAAGGUAUUUAAGAUGUUAUGUUCGUGAAAUGGAAUUAAAUCGGGUUUCUGAGAAGAAAAUAAUUGAACUAUUUGGACUUGCCACGAUACCGGAGAUAAGAGACCACAUUACAUCGAUUACGGAUCGUUAUAGAAAUUCAUGGGAGAUUUUUUCACAUGCAUUGAAAGAUGAAUAUUUCUUGGAAGAUGCUGAUCGCGUUACUAAGAAGCUGUUUCUGGAAUGGAUUGAAUGGCCCAAUAAGAAUUUGCAAGCAACAGAGCUACUAAGGGAAUUUGAGAGGCAGUAAUCUCAAUUGUCGAAGGUAGAAAAAUUGACAUUAGAGCCGAACAAAGUUGAUCUAUUUCUUCAAGCUGCUGAUGGAGAAUUGCAAGGGAAAUUAGAACUCCUUCUUGAAGACAAAGAAGAAGAUGAAGGAUUGACAACGAAGUGGAAGAACGUUGAAGAUGCGGUGGAGUUGCUUACAAAAAGAGAAAGGAGGAAGGAUAGGAGCAAUAUUCCGAAAACAGUACAAGCACCCAAAGCUCCAGUACGUACAACACCACCAACAAUGCCUACAGUUCAACCUUCGACAUCCUUAUCAAAGAAGGCAGAUAUGGGGAUGGAAGAAAUUAUACGAGGAAGGCAAGAUCUUUAAAUCAAAUUAACAAGACUUGAAGAGAAUACUUCUACAAACAAUUCGAAGAAUGUUUCAAAACAAGGAUAUGUACAAAGAUGCAUUUGGUGUGAUGAUGCUUCACACACUAGAAAAGAUUGCAAUGAAUUUAAUAAUAUGAUACGGCAAGGAAUUAUUUGCUGGAAAGAUGGGAAGAUAGCAUUGAAAAAUAGAGAGGAUCUUCUUCAAACCAAUUUUGGCAAGGGAGGAAUGAGAGUAUUGGUUCAAGAUUACCUAAAAGAGCAUGAAACAGCAGCACGAGAAAGUGCAAGUUAUGGUGCUAGAGUAGAUGAUGAAAUUGGUGGAAGUACGGAAACUAGUGAGUUUUGGGCUUCUGCCAUUUUUACAAUGCAAAAAGGGAAAUUACUUCGAGAAGCCUUAUUGAAAACUGCAGCUAUAAUACGAGGUGGAACAGGUUGGGAGGAUUCUGUUGAGUCUCUUUCAGUUCAUGCAUAUAUUGCUAAGAGCCAACAUGAAGCUUUGAUGGAAGAAAAGAGACGAGGAAAUUUUGAUGAUACUAGAGCAGGAAAUUCUUCUAAGAGGCAAACUUGAGGAGACAAGGCUCGAGAGGCAGCUUCACAAGAAUUGCCUGUAAAGGAUACCUCAGCAUCAUUGAGAGAAAAAACAAAGGAGAUAAAAGAUAAAGACAAAUCAAUUUCUUAUAAGCUACUUUCUGACAUUGAAGCGGCAACAAAUUUGAAAGGGGUGUUGGAAGAACGUAUAUUAAAUGCUAAAGUGGAAUUCACAUUGAAAGAAGUCUUGGGAAUUGCAAAGAAGGAGUUUCAUGAUGUUAUCAUUGACAUCAUUAAGCGAAAGAAGCAAUUAAUGGGCGAAACUGGAAUGAGUCAUGCUAUUGAUGCAAGAACAUAUAGAGAUGAAGAAGAGGUUGAUAUUGGUUACAAGCAACCAACAAAUGAAAAGAAUGGGUAUAAUCAACGAGUAUGUUUUGAAGAUUCUAUUGACAAGGAAAUGGAAACUUUGAGCCAUUAUACUCGAAAGCAUUGGGCAAGGGCAACUACUGAGGUAUUGGUGAAGGUAGGAGAUAUAGAAGAACCAAUAGUUGCUUUAGUCGACCAUGGUUCUGAAAUAAAUCUCAUGUCUAAAGAUCUUUAUAAGAAGCAAAAAUCGCCAAUUGAUAUGGAACAUGGAUGGGCAAUUCGAGCAGCUAAUAACACACGGGGCGAAUUAUAUGGAGCUUGUCCAGAUGUCAAAAUUCGAAUUGGGGAUGUUGCGACAGAGCAACAUUUCUUAAUUUAAGAUACAACGUCUUAUCUGUUGAUUUUGGGACAACCUUAUAUUACAGCAACACAGAUGGAAACAAAAGUACUUGACGAUGGUUCUGCUUAUGCGAGGGUACGUAGCAAGGAUGAGAGGAAAGCUGUACAAUUUCUAACAGUACCUCCUAACCAUGAACGAAAUCGAGAUAGGUUGAGGGAGAAACCAUUGCCAAAGAUUGUUGAAGGAUUUAAGGAUUUUGGGGGAGGUACCACUAUAAAGCAAGAUUAUGGAGGUACAAAAGAGGAGGUACUCUCCGAAGAUGAAGGUGCAUUUGAUGCGAGUUUUUUUGGUAUUUUGGAGAAUGGAAAUAUUAUGUAUAAGAAAGUUGAUGAUUUUAAAAGAAAAAAAAGAAAAAGAUUAUAUGAUAUUGAAGGAUAAUUACACAAGUUAGGUACAUUGCAAGAUGAUGAGAGGAUUUUAGGUGUUUAUGAAGAAAAUGGACUAGAAGAUUCAUUGGAAUUGAUUACACCUAUUGGAUUAAGGGAUAAUGAUAAGAUUGUUGAAAUUCAUUCAAGAGAGGUUUAUACCAUACUGGAAUCUUUUCAAGCACCAGAAGUCACUGUAGAGACGAAAUAUAAAACGGCAGAUAAGAAGGUAAAGCCUGUUGCCGGACCAUUACUAGAAGAUUCUAAAGAACAAAUGGGAGAAGCAUCAAAAGAAGCAAGUUUAAGAGAUCCAAUGAGUAUUGGACAUCAGUUUACUAAAGAGUCUUUUGAAGAAUUGAAGAUUGAUUUUGAUGGUUCUUUAUUGCUGGAGGAAAUUACUUGCUUCAAAAAGAUGUUGGCUAAACAAGAUAGAUCGUUUGCCUUCGAAUCUCAUGAAAUUGGGUGUGUGGAUCCAAAUAUUGUAACACCUAUGGUUAUCUUCACUGUACUACAUGUAACUUGGAAUCUAAGACCGAUUCCAGUACCGAGGGCACAUUUAUCUAAAUUAGUUGAGCUAUUAAAAGAAAAUAUAAAGAUGAAAAUAUUGAAACCCUCGUUUGCGUCGUAUUCUAGUCGAUGGUUUAUGAUACCUAAGAAGAAUGGGUCACUACGGUUUAUUCAAGAUAUGCAACCAGUGAAUGCAGUAACUGUCAGGAAUGCAAGAAUUGGACCUAUUGUGGAUGAAUUUGCUGAGGCGUUUGCUGGAAGGGCGAUCUAUUCAAUGGGUGACUUGUAUUCAGGUUAUGAUCAAUUUCAACUUGUCGAAGGAAGUAGAGAUAUGACAAUAAUGAGGACACCACUUGGAUUGGUUAGAAUGUGCACUCUUCUUCAAGGCGCAACCAACUCAAUUGCGCAUAUGAUCAAUGGGAUGAAUAAGGUAUUGAGAGAUUUUAUUCCGGAAAAGACUAUGUCUUUUCUGGAUGAUGUUUCUACAAAAGGGUGCAGAGAAGGAGACAAGGAUGAAACUUUAGAUACGAGGAGGUGUCGCAAAUAUGUUGUUGAUCAUAUACAAGAUUGUGAAAAGAUUUUACCUCGACUUGGAGAAGUUCAUCUCACAUUAUCGGGUAUGAAGUCCGUAUUUGGAGUACGAGAGGUUGUGAUUGUUGGACAUUUAUGUGGAUCUUACGGAAGAAAACCAGAUCCGACUAAAGUUGAUGCAAUUAGAAGGAUGAAAGAGGAUUGUGAUUCUUUAACAGAGGUUUGCAGGUUUUUUGGUGCAUGUAUAUUUUAUCGAAUCUGGGUCCCUCAUUUUGCUCACAUAGCAGAUCCAUUAUAUGAAUUGUUACGCAACGGUUACCGAUUUAAAUGGGAAGAAAGGCAUAUUCAGGCAAUGCAAAGAUUGAAGAAAUUAUUGAUGUCACCUCCAAUAUUGAGGAAGGUUGAUUAUAAGUGCAAUAGACCAGUAAUUCUUACUGUGGACGCUAGUCUAAUUGCCAUUGGAUGGGCUCUGGGUCAAGAUGAUUCAAGUGGAAAUAGAUUUGCAGUUCGAUUUGGAGCUAAAGUUUUAAGUAUUCGUAAGCGUACAUAUUCGCAAGUCAAAAGAGAACUUUGGGGAGUCGUUUCGGCUAUGAAAGCUGAAAGGGAUUAUUUGAUUGGGGGAGUAGUAGUAAUUGAAACAGAUUGCUUGCCAUUGCUUGGAAUGAUUAUUAACUGUUCAACACUAGAUAUUACAAUGUUGAGAUGGAUUGCUUAUAUUAAGUCACUAAAUCUAGAAUUUAAGCAUAUUAUUGGGAAAGACAAUUUAGUAGCAGACAUGCUAUCUCGAGCAAGAUACGAGAGGGAGGACGAAAUGGUUGAAGAGAUUGAUGACGUUGUAUUGAAAUUCUAUUCAAUAUCAAAUCUCAACAGAGAAGACAAGCUAUUUCUUGAAGAAUCUUAUGAAAGAGAAUUAUUGGAUAUUGAUCAUUACUUGAAUACCUUGACUAAGCUAGGGAAUUGGUCUAUAGAAAAAUUCAAAUAAACAAGAAAAAAAACAUAUGGAUUUUUACUUCGAGAUGGAUUCUUAUGGAAGAGACCGAAGAAAGGAAUUGGAAUGCCACACGACUGAUAGGCAAAAAAGAAGAAAAACUAAAAUUAUUAAAGGAAUUUCAUGAUAGUUUAUGGGCAGGGCAUAGAGGAAUCAGGGCUACUUUUGCUAAAUUCAAGGAAUGAUAUUGGUGGAAAAAUAUGUAUCAAGAUGUGCUCUCAUUUGUAGAGUCAUGUGAAAUCUGUCAAUCGUAUUCUAAUAUCCGACAUCGAGAUGGUCUUCAUCCUACGUAUCCUCUGGCUAUUCAUUUUAAAUGGGUUGUUGAUUUGGUUAUUAUGCCAGUUGGAUUAUGGCAAAUGAGAUAUUUGGUUUUAGCUCGUGAAGAUUUAUCAAAUCAAGUAGAAGGAAGAGCAUUGACGACAAAAUCUACAGAGGGGAUUUGUAGGUUUUUGCUUGAAGAUGUCGUUUGCCACUACAGAUGCAUAGAAAAAAUCACUACAGAUCAUGGAGAAUUAAAUGCACAAGAAGCUCGUAAGUUCUUUAAAAGAUGUGGAGUUAAACUAUCACUGACUACUGCUUAUAAUCUGGAAGGGAAUACAAAAAACAAAUGCGGUCACCCACUGAUUGUGAAUGCAUUAGUUAAAGCUUGUAAUAGGAAAGUUAAAGAGUGGCCAUGGCUUUUAUCAUUUGCAUUAUGGGCUGAUCAAACAACACAUAGUUCGGUGACAGGAUAUAUGCCAGUAGAACUUAUGACAGGUCGAAAACCAAUUAUGCCGAUUGAAGAAAAGGUACUUACUUGGAGUAUGCUACCAUGGGAAGAUGGAUUGACAAGAGAAGAACUUCUGGCUAUUAGGAUUCGACAAUUGGAGCAAAGAUCGAAAGAUGUGCAGAUAGCAUUGGAAAGGUUAAAAAGAGCAAGGUUACAAAACAAGGCGCGAUUCGGUAAGCAACAUCGAUUGAGUCCUAAAGCAAUCGAGGAAGGUGAUUGGGUACUUGUUUAUGACAAUAGUCUGGAUAAUCAACAUAGUACUUUGCAAAAUUUUUUAAAACGAUGGUUUGGACCAUAUGUGGUAACAACUGUUCAUGAUAAUGCGACUUACUCGUUAUGGGAGUUAGAUGGUACAAAAUUAAAAAUACCAAUUGCAGGGAAGCGAGUAAAAAUAUUUAAACGAAGACACGUGGAGAUGAAUAUGAAAGACCUUAAUGAAGGUAUAGAGAUUUCGCAGCAAGAAGAUGAAAGUGAUUUGGAUAAUGAAGGUGACGAAGACGAAGAAGACAAAGACGUAGAGGAUAUAUUCUGAAUCAAAUAGCAAUUGGGUAAAUUGGUGCAUACUGGAGGAUGCACAGGUUCAGAGGGGGUGGAUGUCAUGUUGUAACACGAGUAUAUUGUGAAAAUAUAAAGAAAGGGGACUUUUAUUAAUGUUCAGUUACCUCGAAUAUCGGGAGCAAUGACCAACUCUAGUACAAAUACUGAGUGGUCAGGUUCAGUCACCCGGUUACAUUCAGUCGGGGCAUAUUGAAAUGCUCUAUUCGAUUCCAAUAACGAGUGUCAGCAGGAAGAGAAAGGACCAAUUCACACGACGGGUGAGCCUGAUUCAAAGAGCCAAUUGGAUCCAAUUUCAAGAAUCCAUCCGGGUCCUCUUACCCAAUAUGAGACCUGCAUUGGUCGGACAACCCAAUGUAGUCUAAUUACGGGAAAAUCCAGGUCUUACUAUGGGCCUCAGCCAGUCUGACGCGAAGGGCCAAUUUGAUCUAAUUACGGGAACAUCUAGGUCUUACUAAGGGCCUCUUAGCCAAUCUGACGCGAGGACCAAUUUGACCCAAUUACGCGAACAUCUAGGUUACUAUGGGCAUCUUACUCAAUAUGAGACCUGAAUUGGUCGGGCGACUCAAUGUGGACCCGAGUAUGGGGUUUCGAUUCUGUUUCAGGCUGUCCUAUUCUUUGUGCCAUUUUAGGGAACGUUGUUUUCGGUAAAUGAAUCUCUUAAAGGUAAAAACGGAGGAGAAAGCUCUAACGGAAGCUCUAGCGGGAGCCAAUUUUGGAUCUAAGCUCUGACGGUGGGAGCCAAUUUCGGAUCCAAGAUGGAAGAUUGAAGAAAUUCAGAGGAUAAGGUUAGGGGAAGAAUAAGUUUUUGGGAGGUUUUUGAAGAUCGGGAGGGAGGGAGCUUCAUGCUUCAAGCGGGGAAAGAAGACAGAGAAUUGGGUUUUUUUUUUCUUCAUAGGAUUUUGGGAAGACUGAGGUAAUCGUUGCUGAAGUCAGUGUUGUAAUGGUGAAUCAGAAUUUUUAAUGAAGUGGAUUUGAUUACUCUUGACUGUUUUGUGAAAUCGAGUUACGUCUGAGAUUGAAGAAUUAAAAGGGUAUCUAUAGGAUUGAGUAUGCGGAGUGAAUGAAAUUUAUUGGGUUAAUCUAACAAAACAGUCAAUGGAUACAAGAUUGUAAGUACAAAGCGGUAUCGAAGAUUAACAGUUUGGGUUGUUCGGGGUUCUCUGUAACGUUUAGAGACCUAUCGACCGGGACAAAAAGGACUUUGGCGAGUAGUCGAAGGGCAUUCGUAUAGAUUCACGAUAUAUUCUUGCAGUCGUUUAUAUUUUAACAGUCAAAAACUGAUAGACCGCUUGACUAUUGGCGAAUCUCCAUACUACCUUCUACAGCCAGACGCCCGACGCGUUCUUGAGCAGGAAAGCACGUAAUACAACAAUGGUUCGAUUUAGGUUUUAGGAUUUGGAUUAGAAUUUGAUUUAGAAUUUAGAGUUUGAUUUAGGGUUUAGGAUUUAGUUUAGGAUUUGGAUUAGGAUUUGGUUUAGGAUUUAGGAUGUGGUUAGGGUUUGAUUUAGGAUUUAGGGUUUAGUUAGGAAUUAGGUAAGGAUUUAGGAUUUGAUUUAGAGUUUGAUUUAGGAUUGAGGGUUUGGAUUAGGAUUUGAUUUAGGAUUUAGGAUUUAUUUUAGGAUUUGGUUAAGGUUUAUUUAGGAUUUAGGAUUUGGUUUCGGUUUAGUUUAGGAUUUAGGAUUUGGUUAGGAUUUUAUUUAGGAUUUAAGGUUUGUUUAGGAUUUGAUUUAGGAUUUAGGAUUUUAUUAGGAUUUAAGAUUCAAUUGGUUUUGGCCUAAAUUUUGAAUGAAGUUCAAUAGGAUUUUAACUAGAUUUAAAUUAAGAUUGAAUUGAAAUGUAUUUGAGUGAUAUUUGUAUUCUAUCUAAUAUUUCUUUAAGAUUUCUUAUUAUUUGUUUGAAAUUCUUUGAAGUUUUUUUGAAUUUGAUUAAGCUUGCUUAGUAUUAUUAUAAUCUAGUUAGAGUAUUAUUAGUAUUCUAUUAGAAUUAGGAUUUUGUUAUUGCAAUAUCCAUUCUUCUUUCCACAGCCAGGUGCCCAGAGCAAUCUUAAGCAAGACUUUACAUAUUACGAUAACGUGGGAUGAGAGAUUUGCAAAUAAAAUUUGGAAAACUUGAAGAGAAAGAUCAAUUAUUAAAAACAUUAACAAAACAAAGACUAAGGCCAACAGAAAGUGUAGUACUUAGGUGCAUGUAGUGUAAUAGCAUAGAUCACUCAAGGAGGGAAUGUGAAGAUUUUACAGAGGCAUUACGUAAAGGAUUUGUUUUUUUUAAAGAUGGUAUGAUACAUUCAAAAGAAAGUGGAGAAAAAUUGGAAACAAAUUUUAAUAAAAGAAGAAUGAAGUUAUUUGUUAGAGAUACUUUUAAAGUGCAUACAAUCUCAAGCAAUGAAGCAUCAACAUAUUGGGUGGAAGAAGAUUCUAGUAAAUAUUUAAGUAUAAAUCUUGAGUUUUCGAGAGAAUCUAGUUCUUUGUGGACAAGUGCAAUGAGUUAUGUUGAAAGGAAAAAUUUCAAUAGAGAUGAUUUAAAAUGUGUUGGUAAUAACAUUCGAUAAAUUAUUGAGUGGGAUGAUUCAGUAAAUAGAUUAUCUGUACAUGCUCAUAUUGUAAGGAGUUAGCAUGAAGCAUUAAUAGAAGAAAAAUAAAGGAGACAUGAAAAUAAUGAAAGGCCCUCAAAAAGAACUAUAAGAAGAAAAAAAGCACGACAACAAAAAAAUCCUAUUUAUGAAGAGACAAUAGAGAAUAUUUCUACAAAAACAAGGGAAAUUGAAAAAGAAAAAGCAAAGGCUCCUACUUAUAAAUUACAAUGAGAUAUUGAAGCUGCUAUAGAUUUGAAGAAGGUAUUGGAGGAGCGGAUUUUAAGUGAAAAGGUUGAAUUCACAAUUGGUAAAAUUCUAGGAAUUACAAAGUAUAAGUUUCAUGAAGUUAUUAUUGAUACAAUAAAGAGAAAACGACAAUCUAUAGGAGACUCUAUGACAUCAAAUGCACAAGGAACAAGAGCAAUGGAAAACAAUGAAGAUGAAGAAGAUGAAAUAUAAAAUUUUAGAAAUGUCUUGCGAGUAAGAUAUAUUGUUGAAUAGUUGUUUAUAGUUGUGUUUAAUAUGUGUCAUAAAUUUGAGCUUGAUCUAAUGAUUGAAUUGAGGGAUAUUGAGGUUUAAGUAUGUCAAGGUCUCAGAAAGUAGAAUUUUAGGUCGAGUAGGGGUUUUUAAGAUUUCUUGCAAUCUUUAAGUUGGAUUGCAGUGAAACUUACCUGAGACGAUAUUAGAAUUUGUUUUUUAAUAUGUAUGAGAAUUUUGAGAUCAAUCGAAUAGUACAAAGGAGAGAUAUUAGCUCUGGAAGAUUGGCAUCAAGAUUGGAGAAAGAGGCCAGCCAAUAUCCGAAUUAUUUCUGAGAUUAUCAUCAUUUUGGAAAUCCGGAUCCUUUUCAAUUUUUUUGUGCUUGUUUUUAACUUAUUUUUUUAGAAGUGUGCAAAAUUUGAGUUAAAAUCAAUGAUUUAUUCAUUAGUUAUUGAGGUUUAAAUUUAUUCUAGGAAUUACUAGGAAUUGGUUUAGGAUUUGAUUAGGGUAUGAUUUAGGAUUUAGAGUUUACAUUAGGGUUCGAUUUAGAGUUUAAAGUUUGAUUAGGGUUUGGUUUAGGAUUUAGGAUAUAGUUAGGAUUUAGUUUAGAAUUUAGGAUUUAGUUAGGAUUUUAUUUAGGAUUUAGGAUUUGUUUAGGGUUUGAUUUAGGAUUUAGGAUUUUAUUAGGAUUUAAGAUUCAAUUAGUUUUGGCCUAAAGUUUGAAUGAAGUUCAAUAGGAUUUUAACUAGAAUUAAAUUAAGAUUGAAUUGAGAUGUAUUUGAGUGAUAUUUGUGAUCCUUCUAAUAUUUCUUUAAGAAUUUUUAUUGUUUGUUUGAAAUUUUUUUGAGAUUUUUUUGAAUUUGAUUAAGCUUGCUUAGCAUUAUUAUGGUCUAAUUAGAGCAUUGUUAGUAUUCUAUUAGAAUUAAGAUUUUUGUUAUUAUAAUUUCUAUUCUUCCUUCCAUAGCCAGGUACCCAGAGCAUUCUCAAAUAAGACUUAAUGUAUUACGACAUAUUUGGUGAAUCCGACGUGAAAUGCUUGAGUUGGAAGGAAUUUGAUUUUCUAAAAUUAUUUGAAUUUUAGAGAAGAAAGACAAGAAAGUUGGAAGAAGAGCUUUGAGUGAUAUGUGAAUUGAAGCUUUUGAAUUCUUAGAGCUUUGGAGACUAUCUUAAAAUACAAUGGUAAUAUUUGGAUUAUCAUGGAGUAUUAUAAGGCUUUAUAGAUAUGUUGGAGUAUUUUGAAGUAUCAUUAGGUAUUUAUUGGAGUAUUUCAAGGAAAUUUUUUGAUCCUUGUAGAACAAAAUGGAAAGUGUAUCAUCAAGAUUUUUGUAUAGGUCGAAUAUUAUAGAUGGAUCAAAUACUAGUGAAUUUUUUAAGGCUUUCUAUAUAUAUAUAGAGGAGCAACAAAGAAUGCAAGUAAUUGAAAAAGAUAUUACAAAGGCAUUACAAGGAAUCAUCAACAAAUUUGGGAGAUUUGAAGGAUGCAACAUCACUAAAUUUUUGCAAGUUUAUACAUGUGACAUGGAAACAUUCCAAAUCCCUGAGGCAAAGAUGAUCUUAAGCUUACAUUUGGCUAUUGAACCUAGAUUUCAUAAACAAGUGAAGAAAUUGCUUGGAGGGGGUGUAGAAACAUGGUCAAAAUUUUAAGAACUUUUGAAGAAAGAAUUUAUUGAUGGAAAUGAAGAUAAGAUUAUCAAGCGAAAGUUUUUGGAUUGGGUAGAAUUGCAAUCAAGCAAGCAUAUGGAUCUUUGUGAAUUCUUAGAAUAAUUUGAUAGGAGAUUUUAUCAACUCUCAUCUUUGGAGAGACGAUCAUUAGGUGCUUUAAAGAUAGAUUUGUUUUUACAUGGUUUUCAUGAUACCUUGGAAGAUGAGGUUUUCAUGCUUCUUGAAGAUGAGUCUACGGAGAGUGAUUAUACUAAUAAUUGGAAAAAGUUGAAAGAAGAAGUGGUUUUUUUAGCAAGGCAAUAAGAAACAAAAGCUAAAAAAGUUUUAAUAUGGCCUAAGAAAUCUUCUACUUUGGCUUCUAUGUCAUCUUUAUCAAUGCAAGAGACUAAUCUAAAUAAAAGAGAAAUGGAAGAGCAAGUAGGGGAUUUUAAUGGAAAAACCAAUUUUUUACAAAUGAAAGAAAUUGGAUCUUAUAUCAAGGGUGGUGAAGGAGAGAAGAAAGAUUCUUUUCAAACUAUUACUAUGGAAGGCCAAGGUAUCCAAAAAUUUGAAGGUAAUGCGAAGAUUAAGAAUUUGGAAACUAAUGACAAUGCAGUUGGAAGCUAUGGCUAUUCUAUAUUGAAUAAGUUUGUACAAGUUGAUGAUGGUAAUUUGGGUGAAAAAUCUCUUGGUGAUAAAAAGGUAUUUUCUACAUUUGAAGGACGUGAGGAUGUUUUGCCUAAUACUUUGGAUUAUGUUGAAGAAUUUAAGGUUAAACCUUUACAAAAAAUGGAUUAUGGAUCUAUUGAAGGUUAUAAUCAUAAAGAUAGUAUGAAUUCAUAAUAUUAUGAUGUGAGAAGUGGUGGGAUUAUGCAUGGAUCUGAUGAUGAAAGUCAAAUUGUAUAUGGCUAUGAGACCACAUAUGAGUUGGAUGAAAGAAGUUAUGAGUUUUCAUAUGAUUAUUAUGAAGAGGGUUAUGAGAUUGCAUAAGGUUAUGAUACUAAAUAUGGUUGUGAAACCAUAAAGGAUUAUUCUGAAAGUUAUGAGACUUUUCAAGAACAUGAGAUUUUGAAAGGACAUGAGAUUUUUCAAUAUUAUGAGAUUAUACAAUGCUUUGAGACAACAAAAGAUUAUGAUGUUUUACAAGGAUGCAUUCAAGAAGAUAUGAAGGAUGUUAUAUAAGAUUAUAUGGCAAAUAAAGAUUAUGGGAUAAAAGAUAAGGAUGCUAAGUCAUUGACUAUGAUUAAGUUAAUUGUGAGCACUUCACUUUUGGAUCAAGGUCAAAGUUACAUAAUGUACAUGUAAUGGGAACACAAUUGGAUUUUGACAAAGAUAAGAUUCAUCAUAAAGUAUGGAAUUCAAGGGUUGAAAAUCUAAAAAUCUUCAAAAAUAAUGACAUGAGAAAUGGAUUUAAAGAUUACAUGGACAUAUUAAAUGGGACUUAGAAUCAAAGAAAUAAGAAAAAAGAUACAAGCAAGAUGUAUGUGGCUAUGUGGAAGAGGUUUGAAUUCAAUCUUUUCAUUUCAAAUUUUGUACCUCGACAAUGGGUUGGUCAUGUGCAAAAGAAGAUAUUUGCAAACUACUUGCACAUGUGGAGUAAAUGAAAACAUUAGCAUUAAAAAAAAAAAAAAAAUAAAAAUAAAAAAAAAAAAAAAAUUGGAGAAGUAUCAUUGUAAAGUAAGACUAUGAAGGUUUAAAAAGGAAGAUACAUUUACAAGAUAUAGAUGUGUCACGGACCAAAAAUACAAACAAGAAAUCUAAACAAGAAGUUCAAGAAGAAAUGACAAGAACUAGAUUAUCAGAUGAGUACAAGAGCAACGCCAAGAGAAUUGAGCUAGAGCUUCAAGAGAUGCGUUGUCGAGACUGAAGAACUCUUCAGCCUCGACUCCUAUAUAUACUACUGGCCUAUGGUUCUAAAGAAGCGCAUCAAGAAGCUUCCCAAGAACUAUGAAGCUUCUCGAGCAACUACCCAAGAGUUAGGAAGCUUUUCAAGUAACUUCCUAGAAUCUACUAGAAUAUUCUAAGAAUCUUCUAGAGCCUUCUAAGGAAAUCUUUAGGGAAUCUUCAAAGAAUCUUUAGGAAAUCUUCAAAGAAUCUUUAGGGAAUCUUUGAAGGAUAUUCUAAGAGAAUAUUCAAGGAAUCUUCUAGAAGUUUCUAGAGACUUUUUUCUAGAAGGUUCUAGAAACUUGUCUCUAGAAAGGUCUUAGGAGUAUGUCCCUAACAUCACCUCCUCCUUUAGCUUCGAGGUCUCCGAGAAGCAAUGUUAUGGUCAGUCUAUACCAACGCAAGAAAAUGAAGAUCUGACGCAUAACCUCUGCUAUGAACUCCAAUUGUUGUUCACGAGGCAAGUGAUUCAAUGGUCCUUGAAGCCAACGGUAGUGGCCCACGCCUUCAACUUCUGACCAAGCAUGAACCUCCGUGUCUUCAUUGUGAAAUUGUCCUGCAAACACUCCUUCUGGCUGACCAUUGUAGGCAGGCUCGACCUCAAAUACGAUCACCAGCGAUCUAUUGUUCGGAAUCCUUCGACGUCGUCGUGGUGCAAGCGGUUCUUCAUCUCGCGGUCGUCUUCGUGAGCUAGUUGCUUGAGAUGACAUGACAAGUGUAGUAUCUUGGCUAUCUAUAUUCAAAGGCUAAAACAAUAAGAAUAAACUUGGGCUACUAACAAAGUUCUACGCUAUCUUGGAGAGAAUGACUACAUCAACUAUGGAUUUUGGUGGUGCUCUCUCCUCUUUUCUGUUUUCUGGAUGAGCAAGCUUCAGUAAGAAGCUAUCGUCGAACCGGCUUGGGUUUCUCAGGAUAUCGUCGAUGAAACUCCUGUACCUUUUGUGGCGCAUUCGCGAGAUUUUUGGCCGGCUCCCAUGUUCGUUCAUUAAUAUUGUAACCGCUCCAAUGCACAAAGUAUUCUAAUUUACCCCGUCUUUGCCGUGAAUCCAGGACCUUUUUCACCUCGUAUUCUUCGUGGUUCUCUAUUUCUAUGCUAGGUGGUGGACAUUGUACUCUUCCAGGAAAAGACAAUUCUCGAUAAGGCUCCAACAAAGAAACAUGAAAGACAGGAUGUACCUUCAUAGUAGCUGGUAACUCCAGACGAUACGCUACAUGAUUGAUCUGCUUCUGGAUAACAAAUGGUCCCAAUCUCCGAUAGUCGAAUUUGUCACAUGGCCGCUUGAUCUUAAUAUUUCGUCGAAGCAGCCAAACUUUGUCUCCAAUCGUGAAUUUAGGUGCCUGAUUCUGAAAUUUGUCCGCGGAUGCCUUGUAAGAUUCUUGGGCAGUUUGCAAUUGAAGCUUCAAUGUAGUUUGAAGCUGCGAAAGCUCCUUCACCAAUCCUUCAACUGCCGGAUUGUUAAUCGUUGACGAACUCCAUAAGUCAAGCUUCGGAUCGUAUCCAUAAUUGGAAAAGAAUGGCGUUUGUUGAGUUGACGCAUGAAGGGUGUUGUUAUAUGCGAACUCGACUAGCGGUAGAUAUGCGACCCAAUCAUCUUGUUGAUAGUUGAUGGUGCAACGUAAAUAUUGCUCUAAAACUUGAUUCAUCCGUUCUGUUUGGCCGUCCGUUUGAGGAUGAAAUGCCGAAGAAAGCUUGAUAUCCACCUUCAAUAUUUCAAAAAGAGAUUUCCAAAACUUUGACACAAACUGGGUUCCUCGAUCCGAUACGAUAUCAUCUGGUAGACCAUGAUAUUGAUACACAUUAUCAAAAAAGAGUCUUGCUGUGUCUUCGCUUGACGAUGUCUUCUUACAAGGGACAAAAUGCGCCAUCUUUGUAAGCCGGUCUACGACAACAAAAAUGUUGUCAAAUGAAUUCGAUGGUGAUAGAUCCGUAAUAAAGUCCAUGGAAACCGAAGACCAUGGUCGGCGCGGAAUAGGCAAUGGCUGUAGAAGUCCAUAAGGCCGAUGUCGAGGGUUUUUGGAUCUUGAACAAAUGUCACAAGAUACAACAAAAUCUUUCACAUCCUUCCAUAUUUGAGGCCACUAGAAAUCGCGGGAAAUAAGUUCUAUGGUCUUAUUGAAUCCAAAAUGUCCUGCAGUUGGAAAGUCAUGACAAGAUUGAAGAACUCGGAGUCGUGUUGGCACUUUUGGGAUAUACAACCGCUCUUCGAAAUACACUAGAUCUCCUUCCAUCUUGAAUUUAUCAUCACUAGCAUGUUGCUUGAUAUCAAGGGCUAGAGAAUCUUCAAUGGUUGCGACCCGUACCUGGUCGAGGAAGUCAGCAUCAAUUGGUACAAUAGCUACGUUGAGCCGAAAUUUCUCUGGCUUCAACAAUGUCGUGCACUGUUGAUCAAAUGCUGUAUCUCCAGCCUUUGGCACGAGAUAUGAUCUCCUUGAUAAUACAUCGGACAACCCUUGUUGCUUCUCAGGCCGAUAAGUAAUAACAAAGUCGAACUUGGAUAGCGACAUACUCCACCGAGCUUGACGCCGAUUCAAAACCCGAGCCGACAUAAAAUACUCCAAAUUCUUAUGAUCCGUAUAUACGGUCACUGGAUGUGCAGUUCCUUUGAGAAAGUGGCGCCACUCUUGGAAAGAAUCUACUAUAGCAAGGAGUUCCUUAUCGUGGAUCUCAUAGUUGAUCUCAACAGCAGAGAAUUUUCGAGAAUAGAACGCAACUGGGUGGAGCUUCUCAUCUACGCCCAUCUGUGAAAGUACAGCUCCCAAAGCAAAAUCCGAAGCAUCUGUCUCCAAAUAAAAGGCCUUUGUAAAGUCCGGAUGUACCAAGAUUGGAGCUGUAGUAAAUACCAUCUUCAAAUCUUGAAAUGCUUUUUCUGCGAUAGGUCCCCAUUCAAGCUUGUCCUGACACGUUAACCAAGUGAGGGGGGCAGCAACUUGAGAAUAAUUCUUGAUGAAGAUCUGAUAGUAGUUAGUAAAUCUAAGAAAACAUUGUACGUCCCUAACCGUCUUCGGAACUUCCCAAGUCAUGAUUGCUUCCACCUUCUUUGGAUCCAUCUUCAAGCCUUCUGUAGUCGCGAUGAAUCCCAAAAACUCCAUCUCAAUUUGGUAAAAUAAGCACUUCUCCAAUUUGGCAUAGAGUCCUCGCUCCCGUAGUUUUUUGAGUACCGGACGAACGUACUUCUCAUGUUCUUCCUCGUUCUUAGAAAAUAUCAAAAUAUCAUCUAGAUAGAUGACAACAAAAUCGUCUAGAUGCUCUCGAAAGAUGUCAUUCAUCAUGUGUUGAAAGACCGCUGGAGCAUUAGUAAGACCAAAUGGCAUGACAUUGUAUUCAAAAUGGCCAUACCUUAUUCGGAAAGCUGUCUUCCAUUCAUCUCCUUCCUUGAUUCGCACAAGGUUGUAAGCUCCCCUUAGGUCAAUCUUUGUAAAGAUCCUUGCACGCCCAAGUUGUUCUAGAAGACCAGAGAUCAAAGGCAGUGGGUAGCGAUUCUUUUUUGUCACCUUGUUGAGACCUCGAUAGUCCACGCACAUCCGUAGUGAGCCAUCCUUCUUCUUCACAAAUAAGAUUGGUGCCCCAGCUGGCGACUUCGAAUGACGGAUGAAGUUCUUGGCUAGAUUCUCAUCAAUGUACUUCCGCAACUCAGUCAACUCCGUCUGCGACAAAUUGUAGAUUGGUCCAAAAGGUGGUUGUGCUCCUUCUUGCAAUUCAAUGGCACAGUCAUAGGGUCGAUGCUUUGGCAGCAUAUCAGCAUUCUUCUUUUCAAAGACAUCUUUGAAUUCUUCAUACUGCUUUGGAAUAACCAAAGUCGGAGUUGUAUCUUCUCGAGUCGGAGUUGCGAAGAUGACAAGAGAUGUAUUUUGUUUGGCUUCCUUCAUGAAAGCCCUUGCACCUAUAAACAAGGAUUUGUUUCUAGACAUUGUCUUGGCAGAUUCCACCUUCAAGGAGUUUGUUGGAAAUGUCACUUUCUGCAACUUCCAAUCUAUCAAUGGAUUAUAUCUAUCAAGCCAAGAUAGUCCCAAAAUAAUAGGACAUGAAGUGGUCUUGAUAACAUUAAAUACAAUAUUGCUCUCAUGGUUUUCAAGACGUACCUUCAAUGGUUUAGUUUCAUGGAUAACAUUGCCCGAAGACAAUGGUCGUCCGUCUAUGACUUCUACAUGGACAGGCUUAAGUUUCUUUACAAGAGAAAUAUUGUGAAGCUUGGCAAACUCUUCAUCUAUAAAGCAAGCGGAUGCACCUGAGUCUAAUAAAGCAUCGACUUGUAGUUCUUGAAUACCCAGAUGUAAAGGUACCAUAAAACAAUCUAAAGGUUGAGCUGAGAGAAAGGGACCUUGAUUAAUUUUGGAUGUUGAGAUGUCCAGCCGCACGGUCCCUAUUGUGGCUGGGCGUCCUUGUUUUCUUGCAUGCUUGUACUCCUGAGUCUUGUUGUUUGAGGCUUCUGUUUCUUCCGACAAUCUACAGCUUUAUGGCCCACUUCUCCACAAUAUAAACACAAGUUUUGUUCAAACCGUCGCUUCCUUUCCUCAGCUGUGAGGGGUUUGAAACGUACCGCAUCAAUUUGCAUGGGUUCAGGAUCUGUGGAGUGAUUCUCUGGACCUUUUGAAAAUGUAGCAAAUACUCCAUCAUUUCUCCAGCCUGAUUGUCUUUCUUGUCGUAAUUCAAAGAGGCGGUUGUCACAAAUAAUUGUCUGAGAUAUAAGUUCUUCUAAAGUAUCCGCCUUAGGCAUGGUGAUCAAUAAGUUCUUGACAUCAUCUCUUAGUCCAUAUCGAAAUCGUGUCAUGAACGUCUUAUCAUUCCAAUCAAGAUCACAUGUAAGCUGUUGAAAUUCUGCAGCAUAGAUUGCAGCAGAACGUGAUCCUUGUCGCAGAUUUUGUAUCUUUCUUUUAGCCACUCUUUCUCGAUCGCUAUCUCCAAACGCAGCAGUAAGUCUCUCUAUGAAAGCCUCUAGGUCAUACAAUAUUGGAGAAUCCUUCUCUAAUAGUGGAGCAAGCCAAGAGCAAGCAUUUCCUGAUAGAAGAGUACCUAUGAAAGCAACCUGGGUAAAUCCAUUCGGAUAACGAGAAGGGUAUAGGCGUAAGUAAAGCCGUACUUGUUGCACAAAACCUCGGAAGUUGGCUCUUGUUUCGUCAAACUUGUCUAGCAUACUCGCUUUUGGUUCUUUCGUACUAAUCCUUGAAGUAUCUAUAGGGGUCGUAUGUGAUACAUGUCUUGCUUCUCUCAGUCGAAUAAUCUCUUGUUGUAGGCUAUGAAUUUUGCGUCUAGCUUCUUCGGUCACUAGAUCAAUUUGAGGUUCUUUACUUGGAUUGCGAAGAAAUGCAAUCUCCUUUCGUACACUAUUCAUAAGAGCUUGAAGAUCUACAAGAGUUGCCACUCUAUUGUCUACUUGUGGAGAUGGACUGUCUAUGACCUGGUCUACUUCCAUAUUUAGAGAAUAGAUGGAUUAAAAUUUUGAGAGAAGAAGGAAUUGCUAAGUCUCUUGGAGAAAAUUGUAGCACUACCUGUCACUAAAACCUACUCGGAGAAAAGAAAAAAAGAAAAAAAAACACUAAACGAUUUCAGUUUUAGAGGAGGGUAAUCCGCAACCUCUAAAAAUGCCUCAAUGCUUUCGAGAAGAGGGGUAAUCCGCACUCUAUCAAGAAGGCAAAGCUCUGAAAUCGAUGUUAACAAUCUUUUCUACUAGCUAUGCUAAACAAAAAGAAGGAAUUAAUAUCAGUCCAAGAGAGGGUAAUCCGCAACCCUUAGAACGCUCAAGUAUCUCCAAGGAAAGGGGUAGUCCACUCUCUGCCUCAAAGAACUAAGCUCUGAUAUUGUGAUUCAGAAAAUAUCAGUUUAGAGGAAGGUAAUCCGCAACCCCUAAAGCGCUAGAAUACCUUCAAGAAGAGGGGUAAUCCGCUCUCAAACAAGAAGGAUUCAGCUCUGAUAUUAAGAUAAAGGCAGUCUCGACAAACUGUCACGGACCAAAAAUACAAACAAGAAAUCUAAACAAGAAGUUCAAGAAGAAAUGACAAGAACUAGAUUAUCAGAUGAGUACAAGAGCAACGCCAAGCGAAUUGAGCUAGAUCUUCAAGAGAUGCGUUGUCGAGACUGAAGAACUCUUCAGCCUCGACUCCUAUAUAUACUACUGGCCUAUGGUUCUAAGGAAGCGCAUCAAGAAGCUUCCCAAGAACUAUGAAGCUUCUCGAGCAACUACCCAAGAGCUAGGAAGCUUCUCAAGUAACUUCCUAGAAUCUACUAGAAUAUUCUAAGAAUCUUCUAGAGCCUUCUAAGAGAAUCUUUAGGGAAUCUUCAAAGAAUCUUUAGGAAAUCUUCAAAGAAUCUUUAGGGAAUCUUUGAAGAAUAUUCUAAGAGAAUAUUCAAGGAAUCUUUUGGAAGUUUCUAGAGACUUCUUUCUAGAAGGUUGUAGAAACUUGUCUCUAGAAAGGUCUAAGGACUAUGUCCCUAACAAGAUGCCUUUGAUUUAAGUUUUAUUGGAAAAAAAAUAAAGAAAAAAAAAGAAAAAAGAUUUUGGAGAAGUAUCAUUGUAAAGUAAGACUAUGGAGGUCUAAAAAGGGAGGUACAUUUACAAGAUAUAGAUGCCUUUGAUUUAAGUUUUAUUGGAAAAAAAAAAAAAAAAAAAAAAAAAAAAAAAAAAAAAGAUUUUGGAGAAGUAUAAUUGUCAAGCAAGACUAUGGAGGUAUAAAAAGGGAGGUACUCUUUACAAGAUAUAGGUGCCUUUGAUUUAAGUUUUAUUAGAAAAAAAAUAAAAAUAAAAAUCAAAAUGAUUGAAAAAGAAUUAUGUGAAUUGGAAACAUUAGAAGAUGAUGAAAGAUUAUUGGUAUUUAUCAAGAAAAUGGAUUGGAUGAUUCUUGGAGAUAAUUACAUAUAUUGGAUUAAAAGAUGAUGACAAUGGAAGCAAGUGAAGAUACUCAAACAAAAGCAAACAUAAAUAAAUAUAGAAGACUUUGUCAAAGACAUAAAUCUUUUAAGACAACAAGAUGAUUUUGACUUGAAUAGCAAAUAUAAAGAAGAAAAAUUGGAUGAGGACAUCGAAAAUAUUGUAUGAAUCAAACAAAGUUGGUGCAUACCAAAGGAUGCGCAAGUUCAGAGGGGGUGGAUGUCGUGUUAUAACACGACUAUAUGGUAAAAGAUGAUAAUAUGGAUCUUAUUAUAGAAGAGCCAAGUUAAAAGAAAACGUAGAAAAAUAUGGAUAAAAGAUAGGAAGGUAGUAAAACUAUUAGUAGUAAUGCUGCUCUUUUAGAAAAAAUAGCUUCUACUUACUUUGUAGGGCUAAAAAUAAGGCAAAAUAAGGUAGAUUAGAAAAAUAAAUAAUAGACAUCUUUAGGAGGAAGUUAAGAGUAAAUUCUAGUAAAAAUUACUUAAAAAAAAACUAGAUGUUGAUAUCCGGAGAGGGCCGGUUAUGAACCAAGGUCGAAAUCAGAUCUUGAGGCACAAAACUGAGUCUCGACGACAAGUCCGGGACUCUUUGGUAAAUCGGAGAGUGGGAUUUUAUAGUAUAUUGAAUAAGGUUUCCAUGAGCGUUGAUUUUGGGUGAUGUAGAGUUGAUAUGACUUUGUAAGAGCUUUGCAAAAUCAAGGUUGGUUUCAGAUUACAUGGGUUUUAUGAAAUAAAAUAGGGUCUACGUUUUGGGUGAUUUCAAGAGUUUUGUAAUAGAUCUAUGGGUGAAAUUUUGUGGAUUUAUGGUUAUAUUUUUUUUUAAUAUGUAUCUUGAAUUUGAGCUCGAUCUAACGAUUGAAUUGAGGAAUAUUGAGGUUUAAGUGGGUUAAGGUCUCAGAAAGUAGAAUUUUAGGUCUAGUGGGGAUUUUUAAGGUUUCUUGUAAUCUACUAGUUGGAUUGGAGUGAAACUUACAUGAAAGGAUAUUAGACUUUUUUUUUCUAUAUGUAUGAGAAUUUUGAGAUCAAUCGAACGGUGCAAAGAAGAGAUAUUGGCCUUAGAAGAUUAACAUUACAAUUGGAGAAGGAGGCCGGCUAAUACCCGAGCACAUUUUUGAGAUUAUUGUCAAUUUGGUAAUCCGGAUUCUUUUCAAUUUUUAUGUGCUUUUUUUUAACUUAUUUUUUUAGAAGUGUGAAAAAUUUGAGAUAAGAUCAAUAAUUUAUUCAUUAGUUAUUGAGGUUUAAAUUUAUUGUAGGAAUUAUUAGGGUUUGAUUUAGGGUUUAGGAUUUGGAUUCGGGUUUGAUUUAGGAUUUAAGAUUUGGUUAGGAUUUGAUUUAGGAUUUAGGAUUUAGAGUUUGGAUUAAGAUUUGAUUUAAGAUUUAAGAUUUUGAUUAAGGUUUGAUUUAGGAUUUAUGAUUUGGUUUAGGAUUUGAUUAGGAUUUGGUUUAGGAUUUGGUUGGGGUUUGGUUUAAGAUUUAGGAUUUGAAUUAGGAUUUGAUUUAGGAUUUAGAAUUUUAUUAGGAUUUAAGAUUCAAUUAUUUUUGGCCUAAGUUUUAAAUGAAGUUCAAUAGGAUUUUAACUAGAAUUAAAUUAAGAUUGAAUUGAGAUGUAUUUGAGUGAUAUUUGUGAUCCUUCUAAUAUUUCUUUAAGAAUUUUUAUUGUUUGUUAGAAAUUUUUUUGAGAUUUUUUUGAAUUUGAUUAAGCUUGUUGAGCAUUAUUAUGGUCUAAUUAGAGCAUUAUUAGUAUUCUAUUAGAAUUAAGAUUUUUGUUAUUGUAAUUUCUAUUCUUCCUUCUACAGCCAAGUACCCAGAGCAUUCUCAAGCAAGACUUCACGUAUUACGACAACAGAGACUUUGAUAAAAUUAGAAAAUUUAAAAGAAUUAGUUAUAGCAUUAAUUGAUUAUGGUUUUGAAAUAAAUUUGAUGUGAAAAGAAUUAUAUAACAAGAAAAAAUGGCCUAUUGAUACUAAACAUGGGUGGAUGAUAAGAGUAGUAAAUAAUUCAAAGGGAGAUUUGUAUGGAGCAUGUCCAAAUAUCAGGGUGACAAUAGAAGAUGUUAUUCAUGAACAAAAUUUCUUUAUACAAGACAUGUCUACAUAUCCUAUUAUAUUGGGACAACCAUAUAUUAUUGCCACACGAAUGGAAACAAAAGUAAUGGAUGACGGUUCAACCUAUGCAAGAAUAAAAAGGCAAGAUGGGAUGAAAGCAGUUCAAUUUUUAACUAUUUACACUAAUCAUGAGAGAAAUCAUGAUAAGUUGAGAGAGAAGCCAUUAUCAAAUGAAAAAUUUGAAGACCUUGAGGAUUUUUAUUCUACACCAUUGUAAGGUGGAAUUGCAAUGGAUUAAAGAAAGAAAAGCCCCCACUUAGUUUAGAAGAAGAAAUAUUAUCUACCGGACUUAUUGAGAUGAUAGAAGAUUGUGUAUUAACUUUUAAGACUAUUGACAAGAUGAAAAAGAGGAACAAAUGUUAUAUUAGAAAUAUUGAGCAAAAUUUGAAAGAAAAUGGAAAAUUGGUUGAAAAUGAAUUUAUUUCAGGAGCAUAUGAAGAAAUAGGUUUUGCAGAUACUAUGAGAGAAUUAAAUUAUCUAUUACAAUGUGGGUUACAAGUAGAAAAUAGAGUUAUUAAUGUAUGUUCUAAAGAAUUUUAUGAUGAAAUUUUAGGAUUUAUAGAAAAUUUAAGUCGCCAAGAGGUAUGUAUUGAAACUAAGUAUAAAUCAGUAGCAAAAAAGGUCAAAUUAGUGGCUUUGCCACUGCCAUCUGAUUGUGAAGAAAAGAUAAGUGGAGCAUCGACACAACCAAAUUUAAGAGAUCUAAGGAAGAUAGGGCAUAAAUUUAUGGAUGUUACAUUAGAUAGAUUAAAUGUUGGAUGCAUUGGAUUUUUGACAAAAUAUGAAGAAAAAUAUUUUAGGGAUAUGCUUUCACAUCAUGAAAAGGCUUUUACAUUUAAAGCACAUGAAAUUGGGUGUAUUGAUCUAAGUAUUAUAGCAUCCAUGGUUAUUUUUACUAUUCCUCAUGAACCAUGGAAUUUGGGACCAAUUCUAGUAUAAAGAGCACAUUUAUCUAAGUUAGUAGAUUUACUCAAUGAAAAGUUUAAAAUAAGAAUUUUGGAACCAUCUAUGGCACCUUAUUCUAAUCGAUGAUUUACAGUGCCAAAGAAAAAUGGAACAAUGAGAUUUAUACAAGAUAUGCAAUCCAUAAAUAAAGUGACUAUUAGAAAUAUGGAUUCAAGUCUAAUUAUGGAUGAAUUUACAAAAGUAUUUGUUGGAAGAGCUAUCUACUCAAUAGGUGAUCAUUAUUCAGGUUAUGAUCAAUUUCAAUUGGCAAUACAAAGUAGGGAUUUGACAACUAUGAAGACACCAUUAGGAUUAGUUAGAAUGUGCACAUUACCACAAGGGGCUACAAAUUUUGUAGCACAUAUGAUGAAUGGAAUGCAUAAGGUGUUAAGAGAUUUUAUUCCAAGGAUAACAAUGUCUUUCUUAGAUGAUAUACCUAUUAAGGAAUGUGAAGAAAGAAAAGAUGAGACUUUGGAUUCAAAAGGAUGUAAGAAGUUUGUGGCAAAUCAUAUUAAAGAUUGUGAGAAGAUUUUGAAAAGAUUGGAAGAAGUUCAUUUAAACUUAUCAGAGGCAAAUCAAUAUUUAUAAUAAAAGAAAUUUUGGUGGUAGGACACAUGUAUGGUUUAUAUAGACAUAAGCCAAGUAUAGAAAAGAUUGAUAUUAUUAAAAAGAUGAAAGAAUAUAUAAAUACAAUAGAAGUGAGAAGAUUUUUAGGAGCAUGUAUUUUCUAUCAUAUAUAGAUACUUCACUUUGUACAUAUAGCAGAUCCAUUGUAUGCGUUGUUAAGAAAGAAUCAAAAAUUUCAAUGGAAAGAAGAACAAUGGAAAGCUAUGGAAAAAUUGAAAGAACUUCUUUUUUCAUCUCCAACUUUGAAGAAAGUAAAUUAUGAAGGUAGAAGGAUAGUGGUAUUAAUAGUUGAUGCAAGUACAAUUGGAAUAGGUUGGGCAGUUGGACAAGAUGAUGAAUAAAGAAAUUGAUAUGUAAUAAGAUUUAGAGGAAAGGUAUUGAAUUCCAAGCAAAGGGCAUAGAUACAAAUCAAAAGAGAAUUAUGGGGUGUAGUAAUAGCUAUAAAAAAUGAAAAAGAGUACUUGAUUGGGGCAUGGGUAGUUAUAGAAACAGAUUGUCUACCUUUCUUCGGCAUGAUUACAAGUUGUUCAAUUUUUGAUAUUGCUAUGUUGAGGUAGAUAGCAUAUAUCAAAUCUAUAAAUUCAAAAUUUAAAUAUAUUGUAGGGAAAGAAAAUUCAAUUGCAGAUAUAUAAUCAAGAGUAAGAUAUAAUAAUAAAAAAAAGAUGAUUGAUUUGGAAGAUGAUGUGGAUACAAAAUUUUAUACCAAUGCAUUAUCAAAGGAGAAGGGCGUAUGUUUGAAAAUACUAUUAGAAACAUUUUUAAGAGAUUUGUAUGAAAAUGAAUGGAAAGAUGUUGGAGAGUAUUUGAGUACAUUAAAGUGACAAAAAGAUUCGACAAAUCAAAAAUUUAAGAAAAUCCGUAAGAAAAUCUAUGGAUAUUUUUCACAUGAUGGUUAUUUAUAGAAGCAUUUAAAAAGGAGAGGAGAAAUACUAUAAAAGGUGAUAUGUGGUUUAAAAGCUCAACAAAGGAUUAUUAAAGAAUUUCAUAAAAAUUUAUGGAUAGGGCAUCGAGGUAUUUGGGUAACAUUUACUAAGUUAAGAGAAAAAUAUUGGUGGAAGGGAAUGUACAAAGACGUAGCAAAUUUUGUAGGAUCUUGUGAGACUUGUCAAGUAUAUUGAAAUAUUUGGAAUCGAGAUGGAUUACAUCCAACAUAUCUUUUGGCUUUACAUUAUAAGUGGGUGGUGGAUUUAAUACAAUGCCUAUGGGACUUGGACAAAUGAAGUAUUUGAUACUUGCACGAGAAGAUUUAUCAAAUAUGGUUGAAGGACGAGCAUUAAAAACUAAAGGAUACUAAAAGUGUAUGUCGAUUUCUAUUAGAAGAAGUUAUUUGUUGCUAUGGUUGUAUUGGAAAAAUUACAAUAGAUAGGGAUGAAUUGGAUGCAAAGGAAGCACGAGAAUUCUUUAGUAGAAUAGGAAUUAAACUUUCUUUAACAACAACAUAUAACCCAGAAGGUAAUGGUAAAAGUGAGCGUGGGCAUUCACCUAUUGUUAAGGCAUUAGUAAAGGCAUGCAAUGGCAAAGCACAUGAAUGGCCUCGACUACUACUAUUUGUACUAUCGGCAGAUUGUAUAACUAUCACGGACAUAGAAAUACAAGCUCGAGAUCUAACAAGAAGUUCAAGAAGAACUGACAAGAACUAGAUUAAUUAGAUGAAUACAAAAAUAACACCAGAGAGGUGAGCUAGAGCUCCAAGAGAUGUGUUGUCGAGACUAAAGAACUCUUCAACCUCGAUUCCAAUAUAUACUCCUAUUUAAGAAGCUUCUCAAGCAACUUCUACCAACUAGGAAGCUUUUCAAGUAACUUCCACCAACUAGGAAGCUUUUCAAGCAACUUCCACUAACUAAGAAGUUUCUAGAAGGUUCUAGAGACUUGCUUCUAGAAGGUUCUAGAAACUUGUUUCUAGAAGGUUCUAAGGACUAUGUCCCUAACAUCACCCCCUCCUUUAGCUUCGAGAUCUCUGAGAGGCAAUAUUAUUAUUAAUCAGUACCAACGCAAGAAAAUGAAGAUCUGUCGCAUAACGUCUGUUAUGAAUUCCAACUGUUGUUCACGAGGCAAGUGGUUCAUCGAUCCUUGAAGCCAACAGUAGAGGCCCACGCCUUCGACUUCUGACUAAGCAUGAACUUUCGUACCUUCAUUGUGAAAUUAUCUUGUAAACAUGUCUUUUGGCAGACCAUCAUAAGUAGGCUCGAAUUCAAAUACAAUCACCAGUGAUCGGUUAUUCGGUAUCCUCCGUUGUCGUCGUGGUAUAGGCAAUUCUUCAUCUCGGGGUCACCUUCGUGAGCUAGUCGAUUGAGAUAAUCUGACUGGCAUAGUAUCUAUCUCUUAGCUAUCCAUAUCAAAAGGCUAUUGAAAAAAUUCUACUUUAUCAACUACGAGUUUUGGUGGUGCUCUCCCCCUUUCUUAAAUUCUUGGAUGAGCAAGCUUCAAAAAAAAGCUAUCGUCAAAUCGGCUUAGGUUUAUGAGGAUGUUGUUGAUGAAACUCCUGUACCUUCUGUGGCACAUUAACAAGAUUUUCAACUGGUUCCCACGUUCACUCAUUAAUAUUGUAGCCGCACCAAUGAACAAGAUACUCCAACUUAUGCCACCUUUGCCAUGAAUCCAACACCUUUUAGACCUUAUAUUCCUCAUGGUUCUCGAUCUCAAUACUAGGUGGCGGACAUUGCACUCUUCCAAGAAAGGAUGACUCUCGAUAAGGCUCCAACAAAGAAACAUGAAAGACAAGAUGUACCUUCAUAGAAGCCGGUAAUUCUAGACGGUACGCUGUCGUGUUGUAAUACGAAUAUACCGUGAAAAUAUAAAGAAAGGGGACUUUUAUUAAUGUUGAAUUACCUCAAAUAUUGGAAGCAACGACCAAUUCCAAUACAAAUAUUGAGAGGCCAGGGUCAAACAACCUGUUACAAUCAGCCGGGGCAUACUGAAAUGCUCCGUUCGAUUCCAAUAAUAGGAGUCAGCAGAAAGGAAAAGGACCAAUUCAACGACGGGUGAAUUUGGUUCGAAGAGCUAAUUGGAUCCAAUUUCAAGACAUCCAAUCUAGGUCUUACUACGGGCCUUUUAUCCAAUAUGAGAUCUGACUUGGUAGGGCAAUCCAAUUCAGUCCAAUUAUGAGAACAUCUAGGUCUUACUACGGGCCUCUUAGCCAAUAUGAGACCUGAAUUGAUUGAGCGACUUAAUGUGGUCUCGAUUACGGGGCUCUGAUUCCGUUUCAGGUUGUUCUGUCCUUUGUGUCAUUCCGGGAAAGUCCUUUCGGUAAAAAGAUCUCUUAAAGGUAUAAAUAGAGGAGAAAGCUUUGAUGACAGAGCCAAUUCUGGAUUCAAGACGAAAGAUUGAAGAAAUUCAGAGGCUAGGGUUUGAGAGAGGGGAGAAUUAGGGUUAAAGGGGAGGAUAGGUUAAGAAAUGAAGGAGAGAGAAUAAGGAUUCUGGGGGGAGAGAAUAAGUUUUUUUAGAAGGGUCAGAGAGCUAGCUUUAUGCCUCGGAGCGGGGAAAAAAGACAGAGAAUUGGAUUUUUUUUUUUUCAUAGGGUUUUGGGAAGACGGAGGCAAUCGUUGCUGAAGUCAGUGCUGUAUUGGUAAAUCGGGAUUUUAAUGAAGUGGGUGUGAUUACUCUUGAUUGUUUUGUGAAAUCAAGUUACGUCUGUGAUGAAGAAUUAAAAGGGUGUCUAUAAGAUUAAGUAUACGAAGUGAAUGAAAUUUAUAAGGUUAAUCUAAUAAGACAGUCAGUGGAUACAAGAUCGUGAGUAUAAAGCGGUAUCGAAGAUUAGCAGUUUGGAUAAUUCGGGGUUCUCUGUAACGUCUAGACCCCUAUUGACUGGGACAAAAAGGACUUCAGCGAGCAGUCGAAGGACAUCCGUAUAGAUUUAUGAUAUAUUCUUACAGUCGUUUAUAUUCCAAUAGUCAAAACUUGAUAGACUGCUUGAAUAUUAGCAAAUCUCCAUACUACCUUCUACAGCCAAACGUCCGGCGCGUUCUCGAGCAGGAAAGCAUGUAAUACGACAAAAGUAGUGAACCCGAUGUAAAAGCUUGAGGUGGAAGGUAUUGGAUUUCAUUUGAUUUUAUUUUUAUUUUUAUGUAAAACGAAAAUAAAAAUUUUGAAGGAUUUUUGGGAGAAGUUUCUACAGGGGACUCUUCUAAAAGACAAGGUAUAUACAUGGAUCCGUCUAUUGCUAGUAUGUUUCAAGUCUUCUCAUUAUCAAUGCAGUAACAACAAAGUAAUGAUCAAAAGGAAGCUUUGGCAACCAAAGCAUUGCAAGCAGUGGUCAAUAAAAUUGAUCAAUUUGAUAGAAGGAAUAUUUCAAGGUAUUUAAGAUGUUAUGUUCGUGAAAUGGAAUUAAAUCGGGUUUCUGAGAAGAAAAUGGUUGAACUAUUUGGACUUGCCACGAUACCGGUGUCGUAUUACGUGCCUCCUGCUCGAGAACGAGCCGGGCGUCUGGCUCUAGAAGGUAGUAUGGAGAUCCGCCGAUAGUCAAGCAGUCUAUCAGUUUUUACUGCUGAAAUAUAAACGACUGCAAGAAUACACCGUAAAUCUUUAUUGAUGCCUUUCGACUGCUUGUCGAAGUCUUUUUUUUUUGCCCCAGUCGGUAGGUCUCUAGACGUUAUAGAGAACCCCGAACAACCCAAUCUGCUAAUCUCCAAUACCGCUUUGUACUUACGAACUUGUAUUCACUGACUGUCUUGUUAGAUUAAUCCAAUAAUUUCCAUUCACUCCGCAUACUCAAUCCUAUAGACACCCUUUUAAUCCUUCAAUCACAGACGUAAUUCGAUUUCACAAAACAGUCAAGAGUAUUCAAACCCACUUCAUUAAAAAUCCCGUUUCACCAUUACAAUACUGACUUCAGCAGCGAUUGCCUUAGUCGUCCCAAAACUCUACGAAGAAGAAAAAUCCAAAUUCUCUGUCUUUCCUUCCUCGACCCAAAGCAUGAAGCUCCUCUCUCUAAUUCCCUUGAUCUCCAAAACCUUCUAAUGAAAACCGAACUAGUAACCUCAAAAAGAGCUUGAAGCUAGCUCCUUGAUCCAAAAAACCCCCGAAAUGAAAAAAAAAAAACCUCCCCUCUCAAAACUAUAUCCCCCCCUAACCUUAUCCUCUGAAUUUCUUCAAUCUUCCAUCUUAGAUCCGGAAUUGGCUCCCACCUCAAGCUUGGAUCCGAAAUUGGCUCUCGCCGUCAAGCUUUCUCCUCCGUUUUUACCUUUAAGAAAUCCAUUUACCGAAAACAACGUUCCUUGAAACGGCAUAGAGAACAGGACAGCCUGAAACAGAAUCGAACUCCGUAAUCGGGACCACAUUGAGUCCCCCGACCAAUUCAGGUCCUAUAUUGGGAAAGAUGCCCGUAAUAACCUGGAUGUUCUCGUAAUUGGGUCAAAUUGGUCCUCGCGUCAGAUUGGCUAGGAUCCAUAGUAAGACCUGGAUUUCCCGUAAUUAGACUGCAUUUGGUUGACCGGCCAAUUCAGGUCUCAUAUUGGAUAAGAGGACCCGGAUUGGAUUAUCGAAAUUGGAUCCAAUUGGCUCCUCGAACCCGUCGUGUGAAUUGGUCCUUCUCAUCCUGCUGACUCCCGUUAUUGGAAUCGAAUGGAGCAUUUCAGUAUGCCCCGGCUGACUGUAACGGAGUGACUGAACCUGACCACUCAGUAUUUGUACUGGAGUUGGUUGAUGCUCCCAAUAUUCGAGGUAACUGAAUAUUAAUAAAAUUCCCCUUUCUUUUUAUUUUCACUGUAUACUCGUGUUACAACACGACAUCCACCCCCUCUGAACCUGUGCAUCCUCCGGUAUGCACCAAUUUAUCCAAUUGCUAUUUGAUUCAGAAUAUAUCCCCUACGUCUUUGUCCAGUUCGUCUUCGUCACCUUCAUUAUCCAUAUCACUUUCAUCUUCUUGCUGCGGAAUCUCUGUACCUUCAUUAAGGUCUUCCAUAUUCAUCUUUGCUUGUCUUCGUUUAAAUAUUUUUAUUCGCUUCCCUGCAAUUGGUAUUUUCAAUUUUGUACCAUCUAACUCCCGUAAUGAGUAAGUCGAAUUAUCAUGAACAGUUGUUAUAACAUAUGGUCCAAACCAACGUUUUGAAAAUUUCCGCAAAGUACUAUGUUGAUUAUCCAGACUAUUGUCAUAAACAAGUACCCAGUCACCUUCCUCGAUUGCUUUUGGUCUCAAUCGAUGUUGCUUAUCGAAUCGCGCCUUGUUUUGUAACCUUGCUCUUUUUAACCUUUCCAAUGCUAUCUGGACAUCUUCCGUUCUUUGCUCCAAUUGUCGAAUCCUAAUAGCCAGAAGUUCUUCUCUUGUCAAUCCAUCUUCCAAUGGUAGCAUACUCCAAGUAAGUACCUUUUCUUCAAUCGGCAUAAUUGGUUUUUGACCUGUCAUAAGUUCUACUAGCAUAUAUCCUGUUACCGAACUAUGUGUUGUUUGAUCAGCCCAUAAUGCAAAUGACAAAAGCCGUGGCCACUCUUUAACCUUCCCAUUACAAGCUUUAACCAAUGCUUUCACAAUCGGCAGGUAACCGCGUUCGCUUUUCGCAUUUCCUUCCGGAUUAUAAGCAGUAGUCAGUGAUAGUUUAACUCCACAUUUUUCAAAGAACUUACGAGCUUCUUGUGCAUUUAAUUCUCCACGAUCUGCAGUGAUUUUUCCUACGCACCCGUAACGGCAAAUGACAUCUUCAAGCAAAAACCUACAAAUCUCCUCUGUAGAUUUUGUCCUCAAUGCUCUUCCUUCUACUAGAUUUGAUAAAUCUUCACAAGCUAAAACCAAAUAUCUCAUCUGCCAUAACCCAACCUGCAUAAUAACCAAAUCAACAACCCAUUUAAAAUGAAUAGCCAGAGGAUACGUAGGAUGAAGACCAUCUCGAUGUCGAAUAUUAGAAUACGAUUGACAGAUUUCACAUGACUCUACAAAUGAGAGCACAUCUCGAUACAUAUUUUUCUACCAAUAUCGUUCCUUGAGUUUAGCAAAAGUAGCCCUGAUUUCUCUAUGCCCUGCCCAUAAACUAUCAUGAAACUCUUUUAAUAAUUUUAGUUUUUCUUCCCUUUUGCUUAUCACUCGUUGUGGCAUCCCAAUUCCUUUCUUCGGUCUCUUCCAUAAGAAUCCAUCUCGAAGUAAAAAUCCAUAUGCUUUUUUUUCUUAUUUGUUUGAAUUUUUCUGUAGACCAAUUCUCCUGCUUAGACAAGGUAUUCAAAUAAUGACCAAUAUCCAAUAAUUCUCCUUCUUAAGAUUCUUCAAGAAAUAGCUUGUCUUCUCUGUUGAGAUUCGAUAUUGAAUAGAAUUUCAAUCCGACAUCAUCAAUGUCUUCAACCAUUUCGUCCUCCCUCUCGUAUCUUGCUUGAGAUAGCAUGUCUGCUACUAAAUUGUCCUUUCCAGUGAUAUGCUUAAAUUCAAGAUUUAGUGACUUAAUAUAAGCAAUCCAUCUCAACAUUGCAAUAUCUGGCGUUGAACAGUUAAUAAUCAUUCCAAGCAAUGGCAAGCAAUCUGUUUCAAUUACUACUACUGCCCUAAUCAAAUAGUCGUUUUCAGCUUUCAUAGCCGAAACGACUCCCCAAAGUUCUCUUUUGACUUGCGAAUAUGCACGCUGACGAAUACUUAAAACUUUAGUCCCAAAUCAAACUGCAAAUCUAUUUCCACUUGAAUCAUCUUGACCCACCGCCCAUCCAACGGCAAUUGGACUAGCGUCUACAGUAAGAAUCAUUGGUCUAUUGCACUUAUAAUCAACCUUCCUCAAUAUUGGAGGUGACAUCAAUAAUUUCUUCAAUCUUUGCAUUGCCUGAAUAUGCCUUUCUUUCCAUUCAAAUCGGUAACCCUUGCGUAACAGUUCAUAUAAUGGAUCCGCUAUGUGAGCAAAAUGAGGGACCCAGAUUCAAUAAAAUAUACAUGCAUCCAAAAACCUGCAAAUCUCUGUUAAAGAAUCACAAUCCUCUUUCAUCCUUCUAAUUGCAUCAACUUUAGUCGGAUCUGAUUUUCUUCCGUAAGAUCCAAAUAAAUGCCCAACAAUCACAACCUCUCGUACUCCAAAUACGGACUUCAUACCCGAUAAUGUGAGAUGAACUUCUCCAAGCCGAGGUAAAAUCUUUUCACAAUCUUGUAUAUGAUCAACAACAUCUCUGCGACACCCCCUCGUAUCUAAAGUUUCAUCCUUGUCUCCUUCUCUGCACCCUUUUAUAGGAACAUUAUCCAGAAAAGGCAUAGUCUUUUCCGGAAUAAAAUCUCUCAAUACCUUAUUCAUCCCAUUCAUCAUAUGCGCAACUGAGUUGGUUGCGCCUUGAAGAAGAGUGCACAUUCUAACCAAUCCAAGCAGUGUCCUCAUCGUUGUCAUAUCUCUACUUCCUUCGGCAAGUUGAAAUUGAUCAUAACCUGAAUACAAAUCAUCCAUUGAAUAGAUCGCCCUUCCAGCAAACGCCUCAGUAAAUUCAUCCACAAUAAGUCCAAUUCCUGCAUUCCUAACAGUUACUGCAUUCACCGGCUGCAUAUCUUGAAUAAACCGUAGUGACCCAUUCUUCUUAGGUACGGUAAACCAUCGACUAGAAUACGGCGCAAAUGAAGGUUCUAAUAUUUUCAUCUUUAUCUUUUCUUUCAAUAGUUCGACCAAUUUAGGUAAAUGUGCCCUCGGUACUGGAAUCGGUCUUAGAUUCCAAGGUACAUGCAGUUUAGUGAAGAUAACCAUAGGUGUUAUAAUAUUUGGAUCCACACACCCAAUUUCAUGAGAUUCGAAGGCAAACGAUCUACCUUGUUUAGUCAACAUCUUUUUGAAGCAAGUAAUUUCCUCCGAUAAUAAACAACCAUCAGAACCAAUCUUCAAUUUUCAAAAGUCUCUUUAGUACACUGAUGUCCAAUACUCAUUGGAUCUCUUAAACUUGCUUCUUUUGAUGCUUCUCCCAUUUGUUCUUUAGAAUCCUCUGGUAAUGGUCCAGCAACAGGCUUUACCUUCUUAUCUGCCGUUUUAUAUCUCGUCUCUACUGUGACUUCUGGUGCUUGAAAAGAUUCAAGCAUGGUAUAAACCUCUCUCAAAUGAAUCUCAACAAUCUUACCAUUAUCCCCUAAUCCAAUAAAUGUAAUCAAUUCCAAUGAAUCUUCCCAUCCAUUUUCUUCAUAAACACCUAAAAUCCUCUCAUCAUCUUGCAAUGUACCUAUCUUGCGUAACUGUCCUUCAAUAUCAUAUAAUCUUUUUCUUUCUUUUCUUUUAAAAUCAUCAACUUUCUUAUACAUAAUAUUUCUAUUCUCGAAUAUACCAAUAAAACUCACAUCAAAGGCAACUUCAUCUCGCAAGAGUACCUCCUCUUUUGUACCUCCAUAAUCUUGCUUUAUAGUGGUACCUCCCCCAAAAUCCUUAAAUCCUUCAACAAUCUUUGGCAAUGGUUUCUCCCUCAACCUAUCUCGAUUUCGUUCAUGGUUAAGAGGUACUGUUAGAAAUUGUACAGCUUUCCUCCCAUCUUCGCUCCGUACCCUUGCAUAAGCAGAACCAUCGUCAAGUACCUUUGUUUCCAUCCGUGUUGCCACGAUAUAAGGUUGUCCUAAAAUCAACGGAUAAGAUGUUGUAUCUUGAACGAAGAAAUGUUGCUCCGUCGCAACAUCCUCAAUCCGAAUUUUGACAUCUGGACAAGCUCCAUAUAAUUCGCCUCGUGUGUUAUUAGUUGCUCGUAUUGCCCAUCCAUGUUCCAUAUCAAUUGGCCAUUUUUGCUUCUUAUAAAGAUCUUUAGACAUGAGAUUUAUUUCAGAACCAUGGUCCACCAAAGCAACUAUUGGUUCUUCUAUAUCUCCUACCUUCACCAAUACCUCAGUAGUUGUUCUUGCCCAAUGCUUUCGAGUAUAAUGGCUCAAAGUUUCCAUUUCAAGAUACAACGUCUUAUCCGUUGAUCAUCUUUUUUCUUCCAUCAAAGCUUCAUGUUGGCUCUUAGCAAUAUAUGCAUGAACUGAAAGAGACUCAACAUGAUCCUCCCAACCUGUUCUUCCCCGUAUUGUAGCUGCAGUUCUCAAUAACGCUUCUCGAGGUAAUUUCCCUUCUUGCAUUGUAGAAACGGCAGAAGCCCAAAACUCACUAGUUUCCGUACUUCCACCAAUUUCAUCAUCUACUCUAGCACCAUAACUUGCACUUUCUCGUACUACUGUUUCAUGCUCUUUUAAGUAAUCUUGAACCAAUGCUCUCAUUCCUCCCUUGCCAAAAUUGGUUUGAAGAAGAUCCUCCCUAUCUUUCAAUACUAUCUUCCCAUCUUUCCAACAAAUAAUUUCCUGCCGUAUCAUAUUAUUAAAUUCAUUGCAAUCUUUUCUAGUGUGUGAAGCAUCAUCACACCAAAUGCAACUUUGUACAUAUCCUUGUUUUGAAACAUUCUACGAAUUGUUUAUAGAAGUAUUCUCUUCAAGUCUUGCCAAUUUGAUUUGAAGAUCUCGCAUUCCUCGUAUAAUUUCUUCCAUACCCAUAUCUGCUUUCUUUGACAAGGAUGUCGAAGGUUGAACUGUAGGCAUUGUUGGUGGUGUUGUACGUAUUGGAGCUUUGGGUGCUUGUACUGUUUUCGGAAUAUUGCUCCUAUCCUUCCUCCUUUCUCUUUUUGUAAGCAACCCCACCGCAUCUUCAACGUUCUUCCACUUCGUUGUCAAUCCUUCAUCUUCUUCUUUGUCUUCAAGAAGGGGUUCUAAUUUCUCUUGCAAUUCUCCAUCAGCAGCUUGAAGAAAUAGAUCAACUUUGUUCGGCUCCAAUGUCAAUUUUUCUACCUUCGAUAAUUGAGAGUACUGCCUCUCAAAUUCCCUUAGUAGCUCUGUUGCUUGCAAAUUUUUAUUGGGCCGUUCAAUCCAUUCCAGAAACAGCUUCUUGGUAACGUGAUCAGCAUCUUCUAAGAAAUAUUCGUCUUUCAAUGCAUGUAAAAAAUCCUCCCAUGAAUUCCCAUAAUGAUCCGUAAUCGAUGUAAUGUGGUCCCUUAUCUCCGGUAUCGUGGCAAGUCCAAAUAGUGCAACCAUUUUUUUCUCAGAAACCCGAUUUAAUUCCAUUUCACAAACAUAACAUCUUAAAUACCUUGAAAUAUUCCUCCCAUCAAAUUGAUCAAUUUUAUUGACCACUGCUUGCAAUGCUUUGGUUGCCAAAGCUUCCUUUCGAUCAUUGCUUUGCUAUUGCUGCAUUGACAAUGAGAAGGCUUGAAACAAACUAGCAAUAGAUGGAUCCAUGUCCAUACCUUAUCCUUUAGAAGACUCCCCACCAGAAACUCCUCCCAAAAAUCCUUCAAAAUUUUCAUUUUCGUUUUCCAUAAAAAUUAAGAUAAAAUCAACUGAAAUCCAAUACCUUCUACCUCAAGCUUUCACGUCGGGUUCACCACUUAUGUCGUAUUACGUGCUCUCCUGCUCGAGAACGCGCCGGGCCUCUGGCUCUAGAAGGUAGUAUGGAGAUCCGCCGAUAGUCAAGCAGUCUAUCAGUUUUUACUGCUGGAAUAUAAACGAUUGCAAGAAUACACCAUAAAUCUUUAUUGAUGCCCUUCGACUGCUUGUCGAAGCCCUUUUUUUUUGCCCCAGCCGAUAGGUCUCUAGACGUUAUAGAGAACCCCGAACAACCCAAUCUGCUAAUCUCCAAUACCGCUUUGUACUUACGAACUUGUAUUCACUGAUUGUCUUGUUAGAUUAACCCAAUAAUUUUCAUUCACUCCGCAUACUCAAUCCUAUAGACACCCUUUUAAUCCUUCAAUCACAGACGUAAUUCGAUUUCACAAAACAGUCAAGAGUAUUCAAACCCACUUCAUUAAAAAUCCCGAUUCACCAUUACAAUACUGACUUCAGUAGCGAUUGCCUCAGUCGUCCCAAAACUCUACGAAGAAGAAAAAUCCAAAUUCUCUGUCUUUCCUUCCCCGACCCAAAGCAUGAAGCUCCUCUCUCUAAUUCCCUUGAUCUCCAAAACCCUCCAAUGAAAACCGAACUAGUAACCUCAAAAAGAGCUUGAAGCUAGCUCCUUGAUCCAAAAAACCCCCGAAAAGAAAAAAAAAAAAAACCUCCCCUCUCAAAACUAUAUCCCCCUUUAACCUUAUCCUCUGAAUUUCUUCAAUCUUCCAUCUUAGAUCCGAAAUUGGCUCCUACCUCAAGCUUGGAUCCGAAAUUGGCUCUCGUCGUCAAGCUUUCUCCUCCGUUUUUACCUUUAAGAAAUCCAUUUAUCGAAAACAACGUUCCCUGAAACGGCACAGACAACAGGACAGCCUGAAACAGAAUCGAACCCCGUAAUGGGGACCACAUUGAGUCGCCCGACCAAUUCAGGUCCUAUACUGGGAAAGAUGCCAGUAGUAACCUGGAUGUUCCCGUAAUUGGGUCAAAUUGGUCCUCGCGUCAGAUUGGCUAGGACCCGUAGUAAGACCUGGAUUUCCCGUAAUUAAACUACAUUUGGUUGACCGGCCAAUUCAGGUCUCAUAUUGGAUAAGAGGACCCGGAUUGGAUUAUCAAAAUUGGAUCCAAUUGGCUCCUCGAACCCGUCGUGUGAAUUGGUCCUUCUCUUCCUGCUGACUCCCGUUAUUGGAAUCGAAUGAAGCAUUUCAGUAUGCCCCGGCUGACUGUAACGGAGUGACUGAACCUGACCACUCAGUAUUUGUAUUGGAGUUGGUUGAUGCUCCCAAUAUUCGAGGUAACUGAAUAUUAAUAAAAUUCCCCUUUCUUUUUAUUUUCACUGUAUACUCGUGUUACAACAUGACACCGGAGAUAAGAGACCACAUUAAAUCGAUUACGGAUCAUUACGAAAAUUCAUGGGAGGUUUUUUCACAUGCAUUGAAAGACGAAUAUUUCUUGGAAGAUGCUGAUCGCGUUACUAAGAAGCUGUUUCUGGAAUGGAUUGAAUGGCCCAAUAAGAAUUUGCAAGCAACAGAGCUACUAAGGGAAUUUGAGAGGCAGUACUCUCAAUUGUCGAAGGUAGAAAAAUUGACAUUAGAGCCGAACAAAGUUGAUCUAUUUCUUCAAGCUGCUGAUGGAGAAUUGCAAGGGAAAUUAGAACUCCUUCUUGAAGACAAAGAAGAAGAUGAAGGAUUGACAACGAAGUGGAAGAACGUUGAAGAUGCGCUGGGGUUGCUUACAAAAAGAGAAAGGAGGAAGGAUAGGAGUAAUAUUCCGAAAACAGUACAAGCACCCAAAGCUCCAGUACGUACAACACCACCAACAAUGCCUACAGUUCAACCUUCGACAUCCUUAUCAAAGAAGGCAGAUAUGGGGAUGGAAGAAAUUAUACGAGGAAGGCAAGAUCUUCAAAUCAAAUUAAUAAGACUUGAAGAGAAUACUUCUACAAACAAUUCGAAGAAUGUUUCAAAACAAGGAUAUGUACAAAGUUGCAUUUGGUGUGAUGAUGCUUCACACACUAGAAAAGAUUGCAAUGAAUUUAAUAAUAUGAUACGGCAAGGAAUUAUUUGCUGGAAAGAUGGGAAGAUAGCAUUGAAAAAUAGAGAGGAUCUUCUUCAAACCAAUUUUGGCAAGGGAGGAAUGAGAGUAUUGGUUCAAGAUUACCUAAAAGAGCAUGAAACAGCAGCAUGAGAAAGUACAAGAUAUGGUGCUAGAGUAGAUGAUGAAACUGGUGGAAGUACGGAAACUAGUGAGUUUUGGGCUUCUGCCGUUUCUACAAUGCAAAAAGGAAAAUUACUUCGAGAAGCGUUAUUGAAAACUGCAGCUAUAAUACGAGGUGGAACAGGUUGGGAGGAUUCUGUUGAGUCUCUUUCAGUUCAUGCAUAUAUUGCUAAGAGCCAACAUGAAACUUUGAUGGAAGAAAAGAGACGAGGAAAUUUUGAUGAUACGAGAGAAGGAAAUUCUUCUAAGAGGCAAACUUGUGGAGACAAGGCUCGAGAGGCUGCUUCACAAGAAUUGCCUGUAAAGGAUACCUCAGCAUCAUUGGAAGAAAAAAUAAGGGAGACAAAAGAUAAGGGAAAAUCUAUUGCUUAUAAGCUACUUUCUGACAUUGAAGCGACAACAAAUUUGAAAGGGGUGUUGGAAGAACGUAUAUUAAAUGCUAAAGUGGAAUUCACAUUGAAAGAAGUCUUGAGAAUUGCAAAGAAGGAGUUUCAUGAUGUUAUCAUUGACAGCAUUAAGCGAAAGAGGCAAUUAAUGGGCUAAACUGGAAUGAGUCAUGCUAUUGAUGCAAGAACAUAUAGAGAUGAAGAAGAGGUUGAUAUUGGUUACAAGCAACCAACAAAUGAAAAGAAUGGGUAUAAUCAACGAGUACGUUUUGAAGAUUCUACUGACAAGGAAAUGGAAACUUUGAGCCAUUAUACUCGAAAGCAUUGGGCAAGGGCAACUACUGAGAUAUUGGUGAAAGUAGGAGAUAUAGAAGAACCAAUAGUUGCUUUAGUCGACCAUGGUUCUGAAAUAAAUCUCAUGUCUAAAGAUCUUUAUAAGAAGCAAAAAUCGCCAAUUGAUAUGGAACAUGGAUGGGCAAUUCGAGCAGCUAAUAACACACGGGGCGAAUUAUAUGGAGCUUGUCCAGAUGUCAAAAUUCGAAUUGGGGAUGUUGCGACAGAGCAACAUUUUUUUGUUUAAGAUACAACGUCUUAUCUGUUGAUUUUGGGACAACCUUAUAUUACAGCAACACAGAUGGAAACAAAAGUACUUGACGAUGGUUCUGCUUAUGCGAGGGUACGUAGCAAGGAUGAGAGGAAAGCUGUACAAUUUCUAACAGUACCUCCUAACCAUGAACGAAAUCGAGAUAGGUUGAGGGAGAAACCAUUGCCAAAGAUUGUUGAAGGAUUUAAGGAUUUUGGGGGAGGUACCACUAUAAAGCAAGAUUAUGGAGGUACAAAAGAGGAGGUACUCUCCGAAGAUAAAGGUGCCUUUGAUGCGAGUUUUUUUAGUAUUUUGGAGAAUGGAAAUAUUAUGUAUAAGAAAGUUGAUGAUUUUAAAAGAAAAAAAAGAAAAAGAUUAUAUGAUAUUGAAGGACAAUUACACAAGUUAGGUACAUUACAAGAUGAUGAGAGGAUUUUAGGUGUUUAUGAAGUAAAUGGACUGAAAGAUUCAUUGGAAUAGAUUACAUCUAUUGGGUUAGGGGAUAAUGAUAAGAUUGUUGAAAUUCAUUCAAGAGAGGUUUAUACCAUACUUGAAUCUUUUCAAGCACCAGAAGUCAUUGUAGAGACGAGAUAUAAAACGACAGAUAAGAAGGUAAAGCCUAUUGCCGGACCAUUACUAGAAGAUUCUAAAGAACAAAUGGGAGAAGCAUCAAAAGAAGCAAGUUUAAGAGAUCCAAUGAGUAUUGGACAUCAGUUUACUAAAGAGUCUUUUGAAGAAUUGAAGAUUGAUUUUGAUGGUUCUUUAUUGCUGGAGGAAAUUACUUGCUUCAAAAAGAUGUUGGCUAAACAAGAUAGAUCGUUUGCCUUCGAAUCUUAUGAAAUUGGGUGUGUGGAUCCAAAUAUUAUAACAUCUAUGGUUAUCUUCACUAAACCGCAUGUACCUUGGAAUCUAAGAUCGAUUCCAGUAUCGAGGAUUUAUUUACCUAAAUUGGUGGAACUAUUAAAAGGAAAGAUAAAGAUGAAAAUAUUGGAACCUUCAUUUGCGUCGUAUUCUAGUCGAUGGUUUACACUACCUAAGAAGAAUGGAUCACUACGGUUUAUUCAAGAUAUGCAACCGGUGAAUGCAGUAACUGUCAGGAAUGUAGGAAUUGGACCUAUUGUGGAUGAAUUUGUUGAGGCAUUUAUAGAAAGGGUGAUCUAUUCAAUGGGUGACUUGUAUUCAGGUUAUGAUCAAUUUCAACUUGUCGAAGGAAGUAGAGAUAUGACAACAAUGAGAAUACCACUUGGAUUGGUUAGAAUGUGCACUCUUCUUCAAGGCGCGACCAACUCAGUUGCGCAUAUGAUGAAUGGGAUGAAUAAGGUAUUGAGAGAUUUUAUUCCGGAAAAGACUAUGCCUUUUCUGGAUGAUGUUCCUAUAAAAGGGUGCAGAGAAGGAGACAAGGAUGAAACUUUAGAUACGAGGAGGUGUCGCAAAUAUGUUGUUGAUCAUAUACAAGAUUGUGAAAAGAUUUUAACUCGACUUGAAGAAGUUCAUCUUACAUUAUUGGGUAUGAAGUCCAUAUUUUGAGUACGAGAGGUUGUGAUUGUUGGACAUUUAUGUCGAUCUUACGAAAGAAAAUCAGAUCUGACUAAAGUUGAUGCAAUUAGAAGGAUGAAAGAGGAUUGUGAUUCUUUAACAGAGGUUCCCUGGUUUUUGGGUGCAUGUGUAUUUUAUCGAAUCUGGGUCCCUCAUUUUGCUCACAUAGCGGAUCCAUUAUAUGAACUGUUACGCAAGGGUUACCGAUUUGAAUGGAAAGAAAGGCAUAUUCAGGCAAUGCAAAGAUUGAAGAAAUUAUUGAUGUCACCUCCAAUAUUGAGGAAGGUUGAUUAUAAGUGCAAUAGACCAAUGAUUCUUACUGUAGACGCUAGUCCAAUUGCCGUUGGAUGGGCGGUGGGUCAAGAUGAUUCAAGUGGAAAUAGAUUUGCAGUUUGAUUUGGGGCUAAAGUUUUAAGUAUUCGUCAGCGUGCAUAUUCGCAAGUCAAAAGAGAACUUUGGGGAGUCGUUUCGGCUAUGAAAGCUGAAAACGACUAUUUGAUUAGGGCAGUAGUAGUAAUUGAAACAGAUUGCUUGCCAUUGCUUGGAAUGAUUAUUAACUGUUCAACACUAGAUAUUACAAUGUUGAGAUGGAUUGCUUAUAUUAAGUCACUAAAUCUAGAAUUUAAGCAUAUUAUUGGGAAAGACAAUUUAGUAGCAGACAUGCUAUCUCGAGUAAGAUACGAGAGGGAGGACGAAAUGGUUGAAGAGAUUGAUGACGUUGUAUUGAAAUUCUAUUCAAUAUCAAAUCUCAACAAAGAAGACAAGCUAUUUCUUGAAGAAUCUUAUGAAAGAGAAUUAUUGGAUAUUGAUCAUUACUUGAAUACCUUGACUAAGCUAGGGAAUUGGUCUAUAGAAAAAUUCAAAUAAAUAAGAAAAAAAACAUAUGGAUUUUUACUUCGAGAUGGAUUCUUAUGGAAGAGACCGAAGAAAGGAAUUGGAAUGCCACACGACUGAUAGGCAAAAAAGAAGAAAAACUAAAAUUAUUAAAGGAAUUUCAUGAUAGUUUAUGGGCAGGGCAUAGAGGAAUCUGGGCUACUUUUGCUAAAUUCAAGGAAUGAUAUUGGUGGAAAAAUAUGUAUCGAGAUGUGCUCUCAUUUGUAGAGUCAUGUGAAAUCUGUCAAUCGUAUUCUAAUAUCCGACAUCAAGAUGGUCUUCAUCCUACGUAUCCUCUGGCUAUUCAUUUUAAAUACGUUGUUGAUUUGGUUAUUAUGCCAGUUGGAUUAUGGCAGAUGAGAUAUUUGGUUUUAGCUCAUGAAGAUUUAUCAAAUUAAGUACAAGGAAGAGCAUUGACGACAAAAUCUACAUAGGGGAUUUGUAGGUUUUUGCUUGAAGAUGUCGUUUGCCGCUACAGAUGCAUAGGAAAAAUCACUGCAGAUCGUGGAGAAUUAAAUACACAAGAAGCUUGUAAGUUCUUUGAAAGAUGUGGAGUUAAACUAUCACUGACUACUGCUUAUAAUCUGGAAGGGAAUGCAAAAAGCAAAUGCGGUCACCCACUGAUUGUGAAAGCAUUAGUUAAAGCUUGUAAUGGGAAAGUUAAAGAGUGGCCACGGCUUUUGUCAUUUGCAUUAUGGGCUGAUCAAACAACACAUAGUUCGGUGACAGGAUAUAUGCCAGUAGAACUUAUGACAGGUCGAAAACCAAUUAUACCGAUUGAAGAAAAGGUACUUACUUGGAGUAUGCUACCAUGGGAAGAUGGAUUGACAAGAGAAGAACUUCUGGCUAUUAGGAUUCGACAAUUGGAGCAAAGAUCGAAAGAUGUGCAGAUAGCAUUGGAAAGGUUAAAAAGAGCAAGGUUACAAAACAACGGACAAUUCGAUAAGCAACAUCGAUUGAGACCUAAAGCAAUCGAGGAAGGUGACUGGGUACUUAUUUAUGACAAUAGUCUGGAUAAUCAACAUAGUACUUUGCGGAAAUUUUCAAAAUGUUGGUUUGGACCAUAUGUAAUGAUAACUUUUCAUGAUAAUGCGACUUACUCAUUACGGGAGUUAGAUGGUACAAAAUUGAAAAUACCAAUUACAGGGAAGCGAGUAAAAAUAUUUAAACGAAGACAAGCAGAGAUGAAUAUGGAAGACCUUAAUGAAGGUAUAGAGAUUUUGCAGCAAGAAGAUAAAAGUGAUUUGGAUAAUGAAGGUGACGAAGACGAAAUGGAGAAAGACGUAGAGAAUAUAUUCUAAAUCAAAUAGCAAUUGGGUAAAUUGAUGUAUACCGGAGGAUGCACAAGUUCAGAGGGGGUGGAUGUUGUAUUGUAACACAAGUAUACCGUGAAAAUAUAAAGAAAGGGGACUUUUAUUAAUGUUUAAUUAUCUCAAAUAUUGGAAGCAACGACUAAUUCUAGUGCAAAUACUGAGAGGCCUGAGUCAGUACCCCCAUUACAGUCAGCUGGGGCAUACUGAAAUGCUCCGUUCGAUUCCAAUAACAAGAGUCAGUAGAAAGAAAAAGGACCAAUUCAACGACAGAUGAAUCUGGUUCAAAGAGCCAAUUGGAUCCAGUUUCAAGACAUCCAAUCUAGGUCUUACUACGAGCUUCUUACCCAAUAUGACAUCUAACUUGGUCGAGCAAUCCAAUGCGGUCCAAUUACGAGAACAUCCAGGUCUUACUAAGAGCCUCUUAGCCAAUAUGAGACCUGAAUUGGUCGGGCGACUCAAUGUGGUCCCGAUUACGGGGCUCCGAUUUUGUUUUAGGCUGUUCUAUCUUUUGUGCCAUUCCGGGAACAUCCUUUCGGUAAAAGGAUCUCUUAAAGGUAAAAAUGGAGGAGAAAGCUCUGAUGGCGGAGCGAAUUCCGGAUCCAAGACGGAAGAUUGAAGAAAUUCAGAGGCUAGGAUUUGAGAGAGGGGAGAAUUAGGGUUAAAGGAGAGGAUAGGUUAAAAAAUGAGGAGGGGAGAAUAAGGUUUCUGGGGGGAGAGAAUAAGUUUUUUUAGAAGGGUCAGAGAGCUAGCUUUAUGCCUCGGAGCGGGAAAAAAAGACAGAGAAUUGGAUUUUUUUUUCUUCAUAGGGUUUUGGGAAGACGGAGGCAAUCGUUGCUGAAGUCAGUGCUGUAGUGGUAAAUCGGGAUUUUAAUGAAGUGGGUGUGAUUACUCUUGAUUGUUUUGUGAAAUCAAGUUACGUCUGUGAUGAAGAAUUAAAAAGGUGUCUAUAAGAUUAAGUAUGCGAAGUGAAUGAAAUUUAUAAGGUUAAUCUAACGAGACAGUCAGUUGAUACAAGAUCGUGAGUAUAAAGUGGUAUCGAAGAUUAGCAGUUUGGAUUGUUCGGGGUUCUCUGUAACGUCUUAACCCCUAUCGACUGGAACAAAAAGGACUUCAGCGAGCAGUCGAAGGACAUCCGUAUAGAUUUAUGAUAUAUUCUUGCAGUCGUUUAUAUUCUAAUAGUCUAAACCUGAUAUACUGCUUGAAUAUUAGCGAAUCUCCAUACUACCUUCUAUUGCCAGACGUCCAGCACGUUCUCGAGCAGGAAAGCACGUAAUACGACAAUGCCACUAGAUUGAUUUGCUUCUGGAUGAUAAAUGGUCCUAAUCUUUGAUAGUUCAACUUAUCACAUGGUCACUUGGUCUUGAUAUUCCAUCGAAGAAGCCAUGCUUUAUCUCCAAUUUUGAAAGUAGGUGCUUCAUUCUGAAAUCUAUCUGCAGACGCCUUGUAGGAUUCUUGAGCGGAUUGUAAUUGAAGCUUCAAAGUAGUUUGAAGCUCUAGUAGUUGUUUCGCAAAUUCUUUAGCUGCUGGAUUGUUAUAUGUUGAUGGACUCAAUAAAUCAAGCUUCGGAUGAUACCCAUAGUUAGCAAAGAAUGGUGUGUAUUGAGUCGACGCAUGGAGGGUAUUGUUAUAUGCAAACUCGGCUAGCGAUAGAUAUGAGGUCCAAUUGUCUUGCUGAUAGUUGAUGCUACAUCAUAAGUAUUGUUCUAAGACUUGGAUCAUCCGUUCGGUUUGGCCGUCAGUUUGAAGAUGAAAAGUCGAAGAAAGCUUGAUAUCCACCUUCAGUACAUCAAAAAGAGAUCUCCUAAACUUUGAUACGAAUUGGAUUCCUCGAUCUGAUACGAUAUCAUUUAGUAGUCCAUGAUAUCGAUACACAUUGAUAAGAAAGAGCCUUGUUGUAACUUCACUUGACAAUGUCUUCUUGCAAGGAAGAAAGUGCUCCAUCUUUGGAAGCCGAUCUAUCACGACAAAGAUUCUUUCAAAUGAGUUCGAUGAUGGCAGGUCCAUGAUGAAGUCCAUGGAAACUAAUGACCAUGAUCGACGUGGAAUCGGUAAUGCUUGUAGAAGUCCAUAAGGGCGAUGUCGAGGAUUCUUGGAUCUUGAACAAAUAUCCUAGGAGAGGACAAAAUCUUUCACAUCCUUCCACAUUUGAGGCCACCAAAAAUCUCGAGAAAUAAGCUCUAAGGUCUUGUUGAUUCCAAAAUGUCCCGCAGCUAGAAAAUUGUGGCGAGAUUGAAGAACUCGAAGUCGUGCUAGUCCUUUUGGAAUAAAGAACCGCUCCUCAAAGUAUAAAAGAUCUCCCUCCACCUUGAACUUAUCGUCAUUGGUACGCUGCUUGAUAUCAAUGGCUAUUGGAUCUUCAAUGUUUACGGUAUGUACCUGAUUUAGGAAGUCAGCAUCAAUUGGCACAAUAGUAGCGCAAAGUCAAAAUUACUCUGGCUUCAAUAACGUCGUAUAUUGUUGAUCAAACGCUGCUUCUUUAGCCUUUGAUACAAGAUACGAUCUCUUCAAUAAGGCAUUGGAUAGUCCUUACUGCUUUCCAGGUCGAUAAGUGAUAAAAAAAAUCGAAUCUAGAUAGCAACAUACUCCACCAAGCUUGACGUCGAUUUAGAACUCGAGCCGACAUGAAAUACUCCAAAUUCUUGUGAUCAGUGUAUAUGAUCACUAGGUGUACAGCUCCUUCAAGAAAGUGAUGCCAUUCUUGGAAAAAUCCCUUAUAGCAAGAAGUUCCUUAUCGUGGAUGUCAUAAUUGAUUUUAACAGCAGAGAACUUUCGAGAAUAAAAUGCAAUCAGAUGGAGCUUCUUGUCUUCUCUCAUUUGUAAAAGUACAGCUUCCACAGCAAAAUCCGAAGCAUCAGUUUCUAAAUAGAAGGUCUUUGUAAAGUCUGGAUGUACCAAGAUUGGAGCUGUAGUAAAUGCUGUCUUCAGGUCUUGAAUUGCCUUCUCUGCUAGAGGUCCCCAUUCUAACUUAUCCUUGCAUGUCAAUCGAGUGAGAGGAGUAACAACUUGAGAGUAAUUCUUGAUGAAGAUUCAAUAGAAGUUAGCAAAGCCAAGAAAGCAUUAUACGUCUCUAACCAUCUUCGAAACCUCCCAGGACACGAUUGCUUCCACCUUCUUGGGAUCCAUCUUCAAGCCUUCUGUAGUCGCAACGAACCCCAAAAACUCCAUCUCCAUUUAGUAAAAUAAAUACUUCUCUAACUUGGCAUAUAGUUCUCGCUUGCAUAGUUUCUCCAAGACCAAACAAACGUGCUUUUCAUGCUCUUCCUCGUUUUUGGAGAAUAUCAGAAUAUCAUCCAAGUAGAUGACAAUAAAAUCAUCAAGGUGCUCCCAAAAAAUAUCGUUCAUCAUAUGUUGGAAGACUACUGGAGCAUUGGUAAGACCAAAGGGCAUGACAUUAUAUUCAAAAUAGCCAUACCUUGUAUGGAAUGCUGUCUUCCACUCAUCUCCUUCUUUGAUUUAUACGAGGUUGUAAGCUCCUCUUAGAUCAAUUUUUGUAAAGAUCCUUGCACGUUCAAGUUAUUCUAAGAGACCAAAAAUCAAGGAUAAUGGGUAACGAUUCUUCUUUGUUAUCUUGUUGAGGCCUCGAUAGUCCACACACAUCCGCAACGAGCCAUCUUUCUUCUUCACAAAUAAGAUGGGUGUCCCAACUAAUGAUUUUGAAUGACGGAUGAAGUUCUUGGCUAGAUUCUUGUCGAUGUACUUCCAUAACUCUGCCAACUCCAUCUGUGAUAGAUUGUAGAUUGGGCCAAAAGGCGGUUGUGCUCCUUCUUGCAAGUCUAUGGCACAAUUAUAUGGUCGAUGUUCCAGUAGCAUGUCGGCAUUCUUCUUUUGAAAUACAUCUUUUAAAUCCUUAUAUUGCUUCGGUAUACUUGCUGUCGAGAUCUUCUCUCAGGUAGUUGGAGCCGCAUAAAUGACAAAUGGUAUACCUUCUUUGGAUGAUCUUAUAAACGCUCUUGCUCCAAUGAAUAAGAAUUUCUCUAUUUGGGGUUUUCUAUUAGGCUUACUCUUGGAUGAUUUUGUGAGAAAGGUCAUCUUCCGCAACCUCCAAUCUAUAGAUGGGUUAUGCUUUUUCAAACAGGAAAGACCAAGAAUAAUAGGAUUUGAUGGAGUUCUAAUAAUAUUACAAAUAAUAUGGCUACUAUGGCCCUUAAACGCCACUUCUAUAGGUUCUGAUUCAUGGAUGAUACUACCAGACAAUAAAGGUCGCCCAUCUAUGACCUCAACGUGAAAAAGUUUGGAUUUUUGUACUAAAAGGAUCUUAUGACACUUCGCAAAUUCUUUGUCUAAGAAACAAGUAGAUGCUCCUAAAUCUAAUAAUGCUAAGAUUCUCAGUUCUUGAGGGCCAAUAAAUAAAGGGAUUGUAAAAAAAAGGACAGGUCUAGCGGAAAGAAACGAACCUGAUUGUUGUUGCGAUAUUUCACUGUCCAGCUACACGGUUCCUAUUGUGGCUGGGCAUCUUCGUUUUCCUGAACAAAUGCACCUUUGGUCUUGACAAUGAGUUGAUUUUGCUUCUUGGGACAGUUUCCAACUUUGUGGCCUUCUUCACUGCAAUAUAAGCAUAGACCUUCCUCCAUACGUCGCUUUUUUUCUUCUAGAAUAAGGGAUUUGACACGUACCGCAUCAAUUUGCAUGUCUUCUACCUCUGAAUGUGAAUUCACGCUGCUUGCCGACUUAGUUGAGGCGUGACGAACCAUAUGUUGUCUUGAGCAUUGAUCUUGGUGAUGUUGGAAUAGGCGGUUAUCGCACUUCACAGCUUGGCUAAUAGCUUCAUUGAGCAUUCGUGGAUCAGGAAGAGUUAGCAGCAAAUCCUUCACAUCGUCCCUUAAAUCCCAAUAGAAUUGACUCAUCAAUGCUUCUUCAUCCCAAUUCAUGUCGCAUACUAGUUGCCUGAAAUUCGAUGUAUAGACUGAUGUAGAGCGCAUCCCUUGUCGUAGUGACCAAAUCUUUGUUGUAGCCCAUUGAACCUUAUCGUGUUCACUAAAUGCUUCCAUAAACACCUCCAAGAAGGUUUCAAAGUUGUUUAGUAUGGAUGAUCGUUUCUCAAACAAAAGAACAAACCAUGAUAGAGCUUGUCUUGUAAGUAAGGUUCCAACAAGCCCAACACGUGAUUCCUCUGUUACAUAGCGUUCGGGCUGUAAAACUGUUAUCAACCUGAUUUGAUUGACAAAUCCUCGAAACUUGGAAUGCGUACCAUCAAACUUGUCCGAAAGGCUAACUCGGGGCUCCUUAUGUUGUAGAACUAACGGUGCUUGUCGAACUUGAGGCAAAGUUGCUUCUCCAAGUGUAGAAGUUUGAGGCUGGUGCAACCUAAAUUGUGCCAUCCUAGAUGCUCUAUCAUUAUGAAGCCUUGCCACGACUCCUUCAAUUUCUGCAAUUCUUUGCGAUAACGUAUCGAGGGCAUUCAUGAUAGCAUCCAACUUAGACUCCGAACUUUCUAUCAUACUAAUGUCUUGGCUUUCAGCCAUUCUAAGAGAAGGACAGAAAUGACUCUACAAGAGGACAAUAUUGGUUUAGAAGAGGGUACUCCGCAACCUCUAAAACGCCUUAAGAGUUUCAAGAAAAAGGAUAAUCUACUCUCUCCAAGAAAAAUAAGACUCCAAUAUUGUAACAAAAGAAGUAUCAAUUUAGAGGAGGGUAAUUUGCAACCUCUAAAAUGCUAGUACACCUUCAAGCAGAGGGAUAAUCUACACUCUAACGAGGAAGAAAUUAGCUCUCAUAUCUGAGGUGAGUUCAGUCUCGACAAAUUUUCACGGACACAGAAAUACAGGCUCGAGAUCUAACAAGAAGUUCAAGAAGAACUGGCAAGAACUAGAUUAAUCAGAUGAAUACAAGAACAAUACCAGAGAGGUGAGCUAGAGCUCUAAGAGAUGUGUUGUUGAGACUGAAGAAUUCUUCAGCCUCGAUUCCAAUAUAUACUCCUAUUUAGGAAGAUUUUCAAGCAACUUUUACCAAUUAAGAAGCUUCUCAAGCAACUUCUACCAACUAGAAAGCUUCUCAAGCAACUUCCACCAACUAGGAAGCUUCUCAAUUAACUUCCACCAACUAGGAAGCUUCUUAAGCAACUUCCACCAACUAAGAAGUUUCUAGAAGGUUCCAGAGACUUGCUUCUAGAAGGUUCUAGAAAUUUAUCUCUAGAAGGUUCUAAGGACUAUGCUCCUAAUAAUAACUCAUAGUUCGGUAUUUGGUUAUAUGCCUUUUGAGUUAAUAUAUUAGCAAAAACUAGUAAUGCCAAUAGAAGAUGUAGUACCUACAUGGAGUGUAUUACCUUAGAAGAAUAAUCUCAACAGAGAAGAACUUUUAGCAUUAUGGAUUCAACAACUAGAAAGAAGAUCCAAUGAUAUUGAAAUAGCAAUAGAAAAAUUGAAAGAAGUAAGGAAAAAGAUUAAGGAAAGGUUUGAUAAAAAAUAUCGACUACGACCUAUGGCUAUUGAAGAUAGUGAUUGGGUAUUAGUUUAUGAUAGUAGCUUAGACAAUCAACAUAGCACUAUGAAGAAAUUUGCAAAGAGAUGGUUUGGGCCUUAUAUUGUCAAAAAGACAUACAACAAUGGAACAUAUUCAUUACAAGAACUUGAUGGUACAGAAUUGAAGGUACUUAUAGUAGGCAAACGAAUCAAGUUAUUUAAACAAAGAGAUUAAGAUAUUUGUUUUAAUGAAGAAUAAACUGCAAUACAAGAUAUUGAGAUUAGAAUAGAAGAGCAUAUUGAAGAUCAAGAAUUUUACCAAGAUAAAAAAAAUUCUACAUCAACAUAUUGAAGAAUCGUUAGCGCAUGCCGGAGGAUGCACAGAUUCAAGGGGGGUGGAUGUCAUGAUGUAACACGACUAAUAGGUGAAAGAGUGUAGAGAUUAUUGUAAUUUAGGAGAUCUUAGUUCAAAUAAUUAGAAAAAAUUAUCUUAGAAAUAUAGUUAUUAGUCAAAGGGGUAGUAAAAUUAAAAGGUACCAAUGCUGCCUUUUAGAAAGGUGACUUCUAUUUACUUUGUAGGACCAUAAAUAAGGCAAAACAAAGUAGGUUGGAAAAAUAAAUGAUAUAGACAUCUUUAGAAGGAAGCUAAGAAUAAAUUUUAGUAAAAAUUACUUAGAAAAACUAGAUGUUGAUACUCGGAGAGGGUCGGUUAUGAACCACGGUCAAAAUUAGAACCGAGUCUCGACGACGACUCUAAGGUUCUUUUGUAGAUUAGAGAAUGGGGUUUGAUAGCAGAUUAAUCAAGAUUUCCAUAAGCUAUGAUUUUGGAUGAUUUAGAAUUUUUAUGACUUUGUAAGAGCUUUGCAAAGUCAAGGUUUGUUUUGGAUGACUUGGAUUUUAUGAAAUAAAAUAGGAUUUAUGUUUUAGGUGAUUUUAAGAGUUUUAUAAUAGAUCUAUAGAUGAAAUUU
rnacentral:lncRNA from 1 species